UUUUUUUUUUUCCUCUUAGAAAAAAAAGGAAAGGAAUAAGGUUGUACAAGAACAUGAACAACACCCUGGGCUGCUAUAAUAUGCUGACAUACGAAAGUGAAAUGAAGUUAACAAAUGGAUUUUGUUUAGGGGUAGAAUUGAAGCAGAGUUAAGCAGAUACAAUGUGUUUUAGAGGAGAAGUUUUUGGUUAGUUGUUAAUUAUAGCGUUAAAUAUGAUCGGUGAAGUUCGUUUCUCUCGAAGUGGAAAAAUAGGAAAAGGGAAAAAAGAAAGAAAGAACUGACACAUUAUUAGAUUUUGUAUGUUGUAGUAAUUAGGCUUGGUGGCCAGUUUUGUUGAUAGAAAAGGACAAAUUAUAGCUCAAGAGAUUGUGUUUAGACUUGUUUAAAAAUCGUUACUUGUAUGAAAUACUUGUUAUAGAGAUAUUGAAGCAGCUAUACUUUGCUUUUCAUGCAGGGUUAGCAACUAUUUAGGAUUAGAAGCAGCUGUUGAAGCAACUGCCGAAUUUCUGAAUAAAGCUGUGAAGCCUGUCAUUAUUGGCGGACCCAAGCUUAGAGUAGCAAAGGGGCAGAAGGCCUUUAUAGAAUUAGCAGAUGCCAGUGGAUAUCCCUUAGCUGUCAUGCCUUCUGGGAAAGGGCUAGUGCCAGAGCACCACCCUCACUUCAUAGGGACAUAUUGGGGUGCUGCCAGCACCUGCUUCUGUGCGGAGAUAGUAGAGUCUGCUGAUGCCUAUGUUUUUGUUGGUCCCAUCUUCAAUGAUUUUAGCUCUGUUGGAUAUUCUUUGCUGAUCAAGAAGGAGAAAUCAAUCAUAGUGCAGCCUAAUCGUGUGACUAUUGGCAAUGGCCCUUCGCUUGGAUGGGUUUUUAUGGCUGACUUCUUAGGUGCUUUGGCCAAAAAACUGAAGAAAAACAGCACAGCUUUGGAAAAUUACAGACGCAUCUUUUUCCCUCCUGGCAUGCCUUUGAUGCGUGAGAAAGAUGAGCCUCUUAGGGUCAAUGUACUGUUCAAGCACAUUCAGGUAAGGCUAAAAAAGAAUGAUGUGAUGCAAUAUUUCUAACUGGAUUAUGUCAGAGGCCUAAACAAUUCCUUUGUUUAUUAACAGAUAUGCUUCUUGUGAAUAUUAAAAGUCUAAAUGUGUAUCUUGCAUGUUUGUCCUGGCUUCUUUCCUUUAUGUCCCUUUUCAUUUCAGGAGGGGGGAAAAAUUACUUGUAUAGGUCAUUUGCGCAUCCACUGUCAUUUCUCCAUCAAUGUAAUCGAAUGGCGUUAGUCACCAUGAUAACAUGGAUUGCUAGGUCUCUUAAAUGAGUUUUGAUUGAAGAUUCUGAACAGUAAAUACUUAGGAUCGGCAUUCUUGUUUAUUCCUACUUAAUUAUUGUAACAAAAUUGAACAUUCAACAGAGCAUGUUAGGGGGGGAUUCUGCUGUAAUUGCUGAAACCGGAGACUCAUGGUUUAAUUGUCAGAAACUCUGCCUCCCUGAGAACUGUGGGUAAGUUGGAGUCUUUAAUAAGAGCAAUUUAAGCUCCUAUAUGAUUUAAGUUUAAACAGGUUGGUAACUGUUCAUUAACAAUUUUGUGCAGGUAUGAAUUUCAGAUGCAGUAUGGAUCAAUUGGCUGGUCAGUUGGUGCAUCUCUUGGUUAUGCUCAGGCAGCUAGAGAUAAGCGUGUGAUUGCCUGUAUAGGUGAUGGGAGUUUCCAGGUGAGUGAUGCCAUUUGAAUUACACUUCAGUAUCUCAUCUGCAAUGAUUGGAAACUCUUCACCAUCAUGUGGCGUUAAGGAUAUACGUACAAAAGGGAAGAAAAAGAAAAAAAUUCUACUCUGUUUGAGUGCCAAAACUUCUGUCUCUUGUAAACCAGUAUUCAAUUAUGGGUAUAGAAGACGUUGUCACUGCGGUUAUAAAGAUAGCGUCAGGGAAAUUGAAAUAGGUUACAGUUUGUUAUUUAUUGCUACAACCCAUAGCAAUACCUAAAGAAAAUGUUUCAAAUCCUGAUCGUGGUCUAGUCAUGUUUAUAACUUCUCUAUGCUAAUUUGCUGGUUCAUUUUGAUGAAUGCAAAAUUUGUAAGUUGUACCAUAUGGUUAACAGUUUUCUCCUUACUCAGGUAACAGCUCAGGAUAUUUCAACUAUGAUCCGAUGUGGGCAAAGGACUAUCAUAUUCCUCAUCAACAAUGGAGGUUAUACGAUUGAAGCACAGAUUCAUGAUGGUCCUUACAAUGUGAUCAAGAACUGGGACUACACUGGCCUUGUUAAUGCCAUCCACAAUGGUGAAGGCAAAUGCUGGACAGCAAAGGUUAGCAUAAAUAGAUUUGAGAUAUUCGUUUUUCCCCUCAAAUCAUUUUUACUUCUGCUCCAAAUUCAGACUGUUCCCCUUCACUUAUUUUUAAUGUGCUUUUAGCAAAAUUUUCCCUUCGGCUGUUCCCAUAGUCCCAUCGUUUCUCAACUGCAGCAUUGAGUAAUUUCUAUCGACUCCUUGAGUUAUAGCUCUAUAACCACAAGAAAGAACAAGUGAUCCUAUACCAUAAACUUCUUUGAAUUGCAAACCUCAUAGAACAGGGUGGCAAUAUAUACAUUCAACAAACUAAAAGACAAAUUUAUGAAGCGAAUUCGCAAGUAAUGACUGAGAUUGAUUUCUUCAAGAUAAGCUGAUGGAUUAUGCUGUGAAAUACAGGUGCGCACGGAGGAUGAAUUGACAGCAGCAAUAGCGACAGCAACAGGAGAACAAAAAGAUUCUCUCUGUUUCAUUGAGAUUUUCGUGCACAAGGAUGACACUAGCAAAGAGCUGCUGGAGUGGGCACCUCGAGUUUCAGCCGCAACCGGCAGACCUCCAAACCCCCAGUAAUCGAGCUAAUGCUAUAGCAUUUCUGCGAGCCUAGACAUCACUUUCUACAUUAUAACUAGAAAUAAGAGGAAAGAUGGGAUUCCUUUCUUUGUGUGAAAUUGUUACUAGUCCUGUCACUGCUUUCAGCUUCCAAUUCUAACCCAUCCAUAAUGAAGUUUAAACUCUAUAGCACUCUAUCAAUUAUAGAAAGGAGUUGGAUAUGUGAUGUGAAAUAAUUUAGUUGUCUUGUCGAUGAGGUUGUUUAUAUAUGUAUGGCAAAGUGCAAUAUAGAGUUGAACUCAGUUUAUGAUUAACUUCUGCAAUUCAGUUUUUAUGUUCUGGUCUAUUUACAGAGCUCAUAGAACCUCUCCAGAUUCUGUUCCAUCAAUUAAUUACUAACUCAUCUUUCUCAAGACCAUAAGUUCCGAUACAGCCCCCUCAACAUUGGAGAUAGAUACACAAGGAUUAUAUGCUGAUGUACUCAGCUCCCUGAUGUUUUGAGAGCUCCAAGUGACACUUUUUAGGUACGUUGACAUAAAAAUUCGGUAGCUCAAUUGCUUAUCAUAACUUCGUUGUUAGAAAUAAGAACAUGCAUGCCUUGUAGCAAGAAAAUAAGAGAUGAGACAGAAGCGUGCAUCCUUCGGCAUAGGAUCUCUCUCCUCCACCCCUUUUCUGCCUUCUUUGUGCCUCGUAAUGCUAAGAACAUUAUUAGUUUGGUUCUAUAUAGAAAGGUUUUGAUUUUUCUAGAGCCAUUGGGAGGAAAUACAAAUGAAUUAAUGAGGUGGAUACAACUGCAUUUUACAAAGAAGAUUAUAAUAUUUGGUGAUGAAACAGUGUUGCCGUUUAUGGGGAGGAGGUUAUUGUAGUGCCAAUUCAUCCCACGAUGGUGCUCCAUCCUGUAGUGAUUGUAUUUUUCACUUUGGAUUUAAUGGACUUUCAGACAAUUCGUGUGCAGCUUGUUAAGACCUUGGACCAUGAUGCUUGGUAUUUGAAUUGAGUUCGCCACCCUAUUCCGCUAUUCUUUUUAGUUUCUUGGCCAUUUUCUUAUUACCCAUCCGGAAGCAGACUCCAAAGAUUUGGUAACUUGUUUUUAUUUAAACAAAAUUUGGAAAAUUGGUUGCACCCGUGGAGAUAAUAUCAAAAGCUGGCACGAACUUUAUUCGCGGGCGUGAGGGGAAAUGCUUGCAUUAGCUGACGUGCUCAAGCUCAUGCUCUAAAGCAUACAGAGUGGCAGCGACCUCUCCAACCAAAACCACAAAAUUAAAAACUUUUGCUUUUAGAGAUUCCUCACUGUGAACUAGUCUUCUCUUCUACCACUCUCUUCCUGUUCCAUUCCUUCUCUUUUUGCAAAAUGAAGGCUGCAGUGUUAAGAUCUUCUCGGGCAGCGUUAAGGCCAUGCACAUCCAGGCACCUUGUUGGCCGAUCAUACUCAUCAACAGAGUCUAGGCCAGAACGCAAAGUGGCAAUACUUGGUGCAGCAGGUGGCAUAGGGCAGCCGUUGGCUUUGCUUUUGAAGUUAAACCCACUAAUCUCAUCUCUCUCCCUCUAUGACAUAGCCAACACUCCUGGAGUUGCUGCUGAUGUUAGCCACAUCAAUUCUCGUGCUCAGGUCCAUAACUCUUGCUAGCUAUUUGCUUAUGUAUCAUCGAGUUUAAUGGCCAAAUUCAACUAAUGGGCCUGUUUCAAGUCUUCAUGUUGCACAACGAGGGAAAACAAAUGCAAAGUAUUAGAUUCAAGGUUUCCUUCCAUUUUUAUUUGUCAUUUCUUUUGUUUCUUUGGAAAUUAAAAAAUCCUAUGUUGCUUCGACCCUUCAUUUUGCCUUACAGUAGCCGGGUCCCACACUAGACACUUGAACAUAGGAAUGGAAAACAAUCAAAUUACAUGGAAAAAUGAAAGAGGUUCUUAAGAGAAUAGCCGAGUCCAACAUAAGUAUGCAUGUCGGACACGCACCUAUGUCGGAUAUGUAUCCCGAGUCCGAGCAACAUAGAAAACAUCUGUGAAGUGAAUCAACUCAGUUACAUUGCUCAAUGGUUUAUUUUCUUUUGCCUUCCUUUCAUUUUUGCUUUUGGCUUGCGGGGUGGCUUGUUGUUGUUUUGUCAGGUUGCGGGGUAUGCUGGGGAAGAACAGCUAGUGGAAGCAUUGGACGGAUCAGAUGUUGUGAUUAUUCCAGCAGGAGUUCCAAGAAAACCCGGAAUGACUCGUGAUGAUCUCUUCAAAAUCAAUGCAGGAAUUGUCAAAUCUUUAUGCACAGCCAUCGCAAAAUACUGCCCUAAUGUGAGCUCUUUUUCUGGGAUAUACUUGUUCAAGAAAUGAGAAUUCGUUCUCUUAUUUCCUCUGCCUUGAUGGAUAUGUUGAUUGUUGAUAAUUUCGAUUUCAUUGAUGGGAUUAGGCUCUGGUUAAUAUGAUAAGCAAUCCAGUGAAUUCUACUGUCCCGAUAGCUGCUGAAGUUUUCAAGAACGCAGGGACAUUUGACGAGAGGAAGCUGUUUGGUGUGACAACGCUUGAUGUAGUCAGAGCUAAAACUUUCUAUGCUGGGAAGGUUAAAGUUCCCGUGGCUGGUAUAUCUAUUUUCUUGCUUUAGGUUGCUUUCAUGUUUCUGUACACCUUCUAAGGAAAUGUAUGCCUGAGUUUUCUAUUGCGUCUUCCUGUUGCAGAGGUUAAUGUGCCAGUAGUUGGCGGGCAUGCUGGCAUAACCAUCCUCCCUAUUUUCUGUCACGACCCGAAUCCCGGGUCCAUGACCGGCAAUGCAAGAGCGGUGUCGAAAGGACACCCCACCUACGCUAAGCCUCAAAACAAACAUAUCAAAAGAACAAUUUAUUCAAAAAUACACAGCAUUUCAUAAUCUUCAGAAAUAUUAUAUUAUUCAAAAGUGAUGAAACCAAAAGAUAGUUUAAAACUCCUCAUCAGUAAUUAAAACAAAAACAAUAAUCCAUAAUACUUAUUAUAUUGUCAAAAUCCAAACUUAAUUAAAACAAGGUAAUAGUGGAGCAUCUAAGACAUCAAAUCAAAACUAAAAGGAAAGCCUCGCAAAACAAGCAAGGCAUACCGACCAAAAUUGAAGAAGCAGGAACACUCUACAAAGUCCAACUGCUAUCAGAAACUAAGAACCUGAAAUAAUAUUAAGAAUGAAGGGUGAGUUCAACCAACUCAGUGAGGGAAUAAUAUUUAAUAUACAUUUUAGAUAUUUAUAAUAUUAAUAGUUUGCAAGAUGAUUUAUCUUGAUAUACAUAUACAUAUACAUACUAAACAUAUUAUCAUAACGUAGUGGAAUACAUGUCAGAGAUCAGAUGACACCCGAAGGUGACCAGAUGACACCCGAAGGUGACCACUGUGGGAUGAUCAGUCGCCACAGGCUGAUGCCUCUCUCACCAGCUAGGCAUACAGAAUACUAUGUGCACAUAGGCUAACUACUCUCCGUUAGCAUGGAGUUACUGACAAGUCCCAUAUCAAGGCAUAAUAGAUAUUACAGAAUCAUCAAAGAAACGUAUAUCAUAUCAAAUAGAAUUUAGUUUGACAGAUUGCGAGUGCAAAUUCAAGAAUAAAUGAGUACUCGGAAAAUAAAGCAACAUAUAUAAGUAUUCAAGAAAUUAACUAGUACUCAUUGUAUAAUCAACAUACAUAUUUAUUUAUAAUAUAUGCAUAUUAAAGAUUAUCCCACUCACCCGAAAGAAUAUAGAUUAAAAGGAAUAUCAGAUGAAAGACCCGAAAAACCUAUUAAGGAUCGUUAGGAGAACCUACAAUAAAUAUAUGAAAUAUACUCAAAAGCAACUCAAAGCAACACAAAUAAAAGAUUCCAAUGCAUAAAAGAAAACUAGGUUUAGUCUCCUAGGUUUAGGGACUAAAACGACAAUUAUCCAAAACAGGGACCAAAACGUAAUUUUACCAAAACUGGACCAAACUGUAAAUACAUAACCAUACUGAAAUUUCACCCAUAAACCAUCCUUAAUUCUGUCUAGAACAAACCAGGGACCGAACUGUAAUUUUUAUAAAGUUUAGGGACUAAAAUGUAAAUUCCCAAAAUUUAGGGACCAAACUGAAAAUAUUCCAAAUCCAUUAUCAAAAUGAGAUUCAUCAUCCUUAACCUCAUAAUAACACUGUCCAGAAUCUCAAAAUACAUUUAGGGGUCAAAUUGUAAUUUUUUCAAAGUUUAGGGACUAAACUGAAACUUUCACAAAUCAAGGACCAAAAUAAAAUUUGGUCAUCUUCAACCUCAAGACCAUUCUGUCCAGAUUUUACAGCAAGGUAAAAAUGAAUUUCUUAACCCAUAAAAAUUAAUUUAAACAAAUCAACUCACAAAUCUUUAUUUUUAACAACAUACUAAUUAAUCACCUAACAUUAAACCCUUAAUAAUCAUAAAUCAAUCUUAACAACAUAAACUUCUAAUCCUUAUAAACCCUAAUCUCUCUCUCUCUCUCUCUCUCUCUCUCUAAUCUUUCCAUAAACAAAUCAUAAUUAAAAGUAACAUGAGAGAGAAUCACUUACUUGCUACUUCCACUUUUCUUAAACCCAAACACUACAACAUUAUACAGUUUUGCCGACGGACUAAUUCCGUCGGUGACAUCAAUGCACUCCGUCGGUAAAAAUAAUACCGACGGAGUAACCGACGGAUCACGUUCGUCGGUAUAACAGUCGUCGGUAAAUCCCAUUUCCGUCGCUAAUUAUGUCGCAAAUAAAAAAAAACACCCACCGACGGAAACACCGACGGAUACGCGCGCGCCAAAAAAAGUUUCCCGCGGGAACAUUACCGACGGACUAUAGCCAUCGGUAAUGUCAAGGAUAAUUACCGACGGCAUUACCGACGGAAAACCCGUCGGUAAUGAUGGCAUGGCUUGUAAUUUUUGUUGCAACUCUCUGUGAAUUACCGACGGAUACUAUCCGUCGGUAAUGCCAUCGGUAUAAAAUCACCGACGGAUAGUAUCCGUCGGCAAUCCGUCGGUGAAUGUGGCAAAAUCACGUAAUUUUUUUGCAACUCUCUGUUAAAUGCCGAUAUAUCCGUCGGAACGUAUUUAAAAUAUUAAAAAAAAUAAUUGAUUAAUUGUAAAAAAACCUUGAUAAACAAAUAAAAAUGCAUUAAACAUUAAAAAUGUAAAAGUAAUAAUAUUCAUUACAAAUUUUAAUGUGUUUAAAAAACAAAAUUAAACUAGAAUAGCGGCGGAGCUGGAGGAGGAGGCGGAGGAGGAGGAGGAGGCUGGUUGUUCCCGGGACCAUACGGCCAAAAAGAUGCUGCACAAGUAUCGUCACCCAUCUUUGAUCUCAUCUCCAUGACUAUUUGACGGAGCUCAUCAUAAUUCGUCGAGAGUUGUUGAUAUUGUUGUUUCAACGCAAUGAACUCCUCAGACUGGGUGUUCGAUACUGAUGGAGAGCUUCCAACAGUUGAGACACUACGAGUCGAACGCAAGUUGUCAGCCGUAGUGUUGGAGAGCCCGUAGACCCUGUUUUUAUCGGGUCCACCAGACGAUCCCGCCUCCAUCCACAAAUCUGGAUCGAAAUCUGGAUGGGUCGACGGAUUGUCCCCAUAUCUCUCCCUCAACCGGCUAUUAUAGGUCUCCUGAAAAUUUCAUCGGUAAAAAAAUCAUCAAAUGCAAUUCAUUCAAGAUGCAAUUCAAGAAAAUAAUAACUUACAAAAUAAAAUGAAUGAACAAACAUACCACGAAGUGCUGAGCACGGUUGUCCACGAACUGCUGCACCCCCUUUUGGCGGUCUUGACUCCGCACAUGCGUCUCUAGAAACAGCUCCAUUGGACUCGGUUCACGUCCAAGAGACGCAGCCUGUAAUAUAAAAAAUAGGUUGAAAGUUAAAUAUAUUAUAAGGAACGACAAAUUAAUUAACGAUAUAUUUCAAUAAAAUUACUCUUACCAUCCGCUUUGCAUGUGCGCUGAAUGGGACGGAUCCGCCAGUGUGCAUCGUCACCGAACCAUGAAUUUGCCGGUUCCGGUUGUCGGCGCCAGAAUGUGAGCGCCGUGAGAACCGCUCUGAGGUCACGUGCUCAAUAUAUGCCGUCCAUAUUUCCCCCGAGAUGAAUGGCGGUUUGAAUUCCUGCCAAACCGCCACCUCAUUCCAUCCUUCAAGACCGUUAUCCCUCGCAUGUCUUUUUGAUUUUUUUUGGGUGUCAUACCAAAAAUCACGCAACCUACUUCCAUAGUAACAAAUUAGAAUUUAAAACAUAAAAUUAUAAAACAAAAAUAAAUAUUAUUUUCGAUGUUACCUAGUUGCCGCGUGAUUCUCCCAUACCCUCCUCACAACAUUGUUGUCCGCCCUAUCCCACUCAAAUUUGUUCUGUGUAUAUAAAUAAUUCAUAUAAAAUAAAAAUAGUACAAGAUAUAAAAUUAUAAAAAUCAUUUAUUAAAAAUAAGCUGUAAAUUAAAAAUUAACACCGACCUGAAAUCGCUUAAACCAUGCAUCGAUAUUAGGUUUCCACUCAGGAUGUUUGGAAACCUGGCUCCAUUGAAACAAUGGAAUCUCCAUCGACGAUUUAAACGCCAAUGUUAUAGUCCUUGCAGCCUCAAUGUUUGUGAACCUGAAAUUAAAUAAAAGUAGUAAUUAAUAUUAAUUAGUUGUUCAUAAAUUAUGUUAUAAGUAUAUAAAAAAAAAACCAAAACCUAAACAAACUUACAUUGAGAGGUCAUCCUUCCAUUGUGCUUGGUACUUGCGGGUGAAUUGACCCCGCUGUGAAGGCACACCGCUUCUGCGCUGUGAAACCGCGCUAGAAGAGGCAGCAUCACAAGUUGGCGUAGAUUCCUCGCCGUGAUCAGCACCUAAGGAUACGUCCUCCUCGCUGCUAGAAGAACUAGCUGCAACCGUCUUCUGACGACGUGCUGUCGAUUUCAUUCUACGCAUCUACACAAAUGUAUACGAAUAAUUACAUAAUUAACUUCGAUUAUUUAAAAAAAAAUUCGACAGAGCCUCCCCUGUACUGGGGGGUCCCAAGUUGUCGACAAAAUCAUAUUACACUUCUAAUUUUAUUUCACAUCCCGAUCCAAUCAUCCUGGAUCUCAACCCAACUCAUCAUCAUCAACACAACAUUUUAUUCAAUAACAUCAUAUAUAAUUACAACUAUGAACAUUCAUUGUUAAAUUGGUACUUAGAGUGACAAACAUUAGAUUAAAGUCUUCCAUUCAAAUUUACGGAUAUAAACUAACAUUUUUAACAUAAAUUCAACAAUAACAAUUAUAGCAAUACAAACAAUAAUAUCCUAAAUUAAGAUAAACUAAUUAAAUGCAAUUCUAUAUAUAUAAAUUAACAUUUUUAAAAUAAACCAACAAUAACAAUUAUAUUUAUAAACUAACAUUUUUAACAUAAAUUCAACAAUAAAAUUUAUAGCAAUACAAACAAUAAUAUCCUAAAUUAAGAUAAACUAAUUAAAUGCAAUUCUAUAUAUAUAAAUUAACAUUUUUAAAAUAAACCAACAAUAACAAUUAUAUUUAUAAACUAACAUUUUUAACAUAAAUUCAACAAUAACAAUUGUUGUAACCCAUUUUUGGGUCCCCACAAAUAAAAAAAAUAUAUAAUAAUAAUAAUAAUAAUAAUAAUUAAAAAAAAAAAGAAUUUGAACAGUGUCGUUUUGACACUGUUCCUCUACCCGCCGCGCUCCAUGCCGUUGGAGCCGAACCUCGACAGUAGCACCCAAUGGCCGACCAGCCGCCGCGAGACCCGCUCCCAUGCGCAACAGCAAAAGCCACACCCACUUGCUCUAUAAAUAGCACCCAACACAGCAGAGAGAGGGGGGAAAAAAACUUUUUGAAACGGAGAGAGGAAGAAGUUUAAAACGAGGAGAGUUUUGUUGAACGGGAGGGGGCUGGAAAACUAAAAGGGGAGGCGUGUUUUUGGAACGAGAAAGAGAGAGAGCACCCAAAAACAGUCCCCCUCCUGGCCAUUCCCCUCUCUCGGCCAUUUCUUCCCUGCACCCGAAACAGCCUUCUCUGUCAACGGAGCCCCAGACCGACCUCAUUUUCUCCUCCAUCCCAGCAGCAGCAACAACACCAGGAGGAGGAGCAGCCGCAGUCAUGCCCUGCCACCAGCACCUCCACGAAGACGUUGCAGAGAAGGAAGAACAUUGUUGACAGCAGAAAACACCAUCAGCAACAGAAGGAGAAGACAAAACAGGGGCGAACAGAGGAGAAAGAGAGGAGAGAGAACAAACAAGAGAGAGGGAAAAGAGGAAGGAAUAAACCGAAAACAAAGAAAAGAAAACCGAAAACAAAGAGAAAGGAAGAAAAAAGGGGGAAGGGAGGAGAGAACCCGAAGAAAAAACCGGAGGAAGAAUUGGAGAAAGAAGGCAGGAGAGAGAGAGGAGAGGAGAAAUAACACAGGAGCAGUAGAGAAGAGGAAGAGCCAACCUUCGGUCAGCAACCACCAGCAAAACCACCACCAGCACCACUGUCAGCUCCUCUACCCAAGCUCAUCGUCGCAGGUAACUCUUCCCCUGUUCAUCUUCUUGCAUGCAGAACGUGCACUGUGCACGUUCUGCAAGCAAGAAAUUAAUUAGCUGGUUACUGUGCAGGGGCACAGUAACCGGCUAAUUAAUUCCCCCGGUUACUAUGCAGGUCUAAUUAAUUAACAUGUUACUGUGCAGGUGCACAGUAGCCACCUAAUUAAUUAACGGGUCACUGUGCUUAUGUACAGUAACCCGGUUACUAUUUGUGCACAGUACCCCCGUCACUAUUUGUGUACAGUAUCUCAGUCACUGUUGUGUACAGUAUCCCGUAAGAAGCAUGAUGGCCUGUUGGGCCGAAAUCGGCCCAACAAUUUUGGGCUGAGUCCGGCCCAGUUGGUUGGGCCGGCCCAGCCUGAAUUUAAUAUUAUAUAUUAUUUAUAUUAUAUUUUGUAUUACUUAUAUAUAUAUGUGAAAAAUUACAAAAAUUCUGCAAAAAUUAUUUUUUUAAAAAAAUAUGUGUUUUGUUGUAAUUUUAUUACUGUAUUUUGAUUAAUAUCGGUUGGUAUUUUUAUAUUCUAAAGAUACAAAAUCCAAUAUUAAAAUACCCGGUUUUCAUCAAAACAUCAAAGAUUUUCAAAAUAAAAAAUGUCUUUUGCUUUCAAAAAUUUUCUAAAAAUAUCUUUAAAAAUAUUGUUGAUUUUUCUGCAUUUGUUUUAUCAAAGUGGAUUAAUAUUUGGUUGUAUUUUUAUACUGUAAGAAUACAAACCCAGUAUUAAAAUACCCGAUUUGCGUCAAAACAUACAAAAAAAAAUACAUAUUUAAAAAAGGUUUUGUUUUAAAAUACGGCCUAGUCUCUCCAAUAUAUAUAUAUAAAUAUUAUGACAUCAUAUUUUCACAACAAAGAAAAUUUCAAAAACAAUAUAUGUAUUAGCAUGCAUUUUGGCUUUAAUAACCAGUUUAUUCAAGCCAUGAGAACUAGGCCAAUAUUUCAAAAAUUCUAAAAAAUCUUUUUGUCCUCUUUUAGUAUUUGGGAUUACGAAUUUAUACGUAAAACGUAUUCCUGAUAUUAAAAAUAUGGGUUUUUUUUUACAUAGACAUUAGAACGGUUAGGUUUUACCCGAUAAGAUAAGGACCUCCUUAUUAAGGAGAACUUUUCUUGAACCAUAGACGGACCAACAACUAGGAAACACAACGAGACCUUGAAUUUUAUCAGACAAAUAAACAAUGCAGCUUACCUUAGGUAGGGCGUAUUUGGGGUGCUAAUACCUUCCCUUUACGCAACCAGUCCCCGUACCCAAUCUCUGAGACCAGUUAGGGUUCCUAGUGACCAAAAUACUAGGUGGCGACUCCCACACCAUUUUUCACUGAUAAGAGACAAAGAACUCCUUGUCUCACCAUAUUGACCAGAUAUAUCCCCCCCCAUCACACAUUUGUGGGUGGACGAUCGCCGCGACAUCGCUCACGUGCGACAGAAUGGCGACUCCACUGGGGACCUUGUGGACUAAGCUUUGUUUUUGUCUGAUUUGUUUUUGUUUUCGUGUGUUUAUUGUUAAAUAUAGAACUGUCUCAUGCGUAUAUGCUUUAAAUAUUUUUACACAUUGUUCAUGCAUUAUAUAGAACUGUCUCAUGCAUCACAUACUUUGAUUAUUGAGAGCACACACAAACUUUAAGUUAAGUGGGGGACUAGCAGCUUACCUUACGACUGUUAGUCAAGGUUUAAGUUUGUGUAAACCCCAACUCUUCGCUGAGUGCUUAGACUGGUAAUAGUUGGUACAUGUGCCAUCUCAUUACCUACAAGCCCCCAUAUUGCCUCCACGAGGGCAAUCACUGGGACAGCAAGAGACCCCUUUUAGAGACCAAGUAGUAAAUCUAUCCUAUGUCUCACAUAAAGGAACUAGAACCUACAUUUAGGUUGUAUGCUCCAUAAUCUCUUUUGCAUCAAAACAAGUCUAAACCUAAAGGUAUUUUUCCCAGGACUUGUGAAUGAAAUGGCCACCAUUGCUAAAUUUUCCAUCAUAGAAUACGAAAAAAUUCUGAAAUGUCACAAUUGACUGAAGGAGACUGCCUUAGAAGCGAUGCUAAGAAGUUGUCACCAAUCAAGAACCUGAAUUGCAUUAUGAAUGAGGUGACCAAGUUAAUGACUCACUUUCAGAAUGUGGAUGAGGAUGUGUUUUUUAGGAAAUAUAGACGUUUGGUAGAAAUCGCAAGGGUAGAAGUUUAAGCAGAACUGUGCGAGCCUUAGUUCAUUUUUGGGAUCCAGACUACCGGUGUUUUUCUUUUGGAAGCAUAAACCUAUGUCCCAAUAUAGGAUGUUGACUGAGUUUCCAAACAAUUUGUAUAGGAUUUAUUUUCCUUUGAGAUUUGACAAGAUCACCCCCGAACUGUCAAAAUUGCUCAGAAUUGCCAACUUGGAAAAGUUUUUGGAAAAAGAAUGGUACCGGUCUGAAGUGGAGGAUGUUAGAAAUUGAACUAGAAAAAGGUCAGGAUCAGAAAUAGAGUAUAUUUGGCCUUGUGUUGUUCCUAGGCCAGAUGAAUGUAGUGAGUUUGGAGGCCGCUGUUGCUUAUGUAGAGUAUGAGAAUACACAAAUCAAUCCAGUGGUUUUUUAAUUUAGUUGAAACUAUCGUGACACUUAACCAUUGUAGGAAGACCAGAAAAGGAGCAAUGAGAUGCUGCAUGCAGUUGUUGUAUAUCUAGAUGGUUAGCCACAUCGAAACAAAAAGGCCUAUCUUUAAUAAUUUUUCGUGGUUCACCCAAAGACCCCUGAAGUUGGUAGAAGAAAAGAAUGGGAAGAUCUAGGCAACCAGGUUUGGGUUGACAAAGUAGAAAGUUUUGCCUAAUAGUGAUUUCAGUGGAGAGCUCCGUGGGUCACUAUAGUGGAUGUCUUGGUGAGUUGUGGGCAAAGACGCUGGGUGCUUUUGGUAAGGAUCACAAGUUAUGUAAGUUAUGCUCCUACCCUUAUGGUAAGGCAACUUGGGGGCAUGCAAUUUGUUCCAAGGACUAUAGGAAUUGCUCAAUUCUUUGGUUUGUUCGAAGAUCCCAUUGCACAAGAAGUUGUGGAGAUCAUCAAACAAGAUUGGAAGCAUCUGGUUUUGGUUUAGAUAGGAGGUUUAAAGGAUCCAAGUGCAAGUGAAAGAUAUGCAAGAUGGAGAGACUUAGCUGCUUCAGCUAAUAGAAGCCAAAUCUCCCCAAACUAUAGAGGAGCCUAUUAAGAGGAAAAUGGUCAAUAAGGAAGACUAGUGGAAAAGUUUCGGAUAGAAUUAAGCAAAAGCAGAAAGGAUGAGCAAAUACAAUCUAUUGAUGCGAGGAUAACAAAGCUUGAGUUAAAGCUAGGUGAAGAGAAGAUUGCUAGGAAAGAAGUGAGAAGGAGCUAGGAGGGAUGAGUUUGGAUUGGAUGCAAAGUUGCUUUGAACUUGAAGCAAUGGAGAUUGACUUUAAAGAUUGCCAAAGUAGCAUAAAAUAUACCCAAGAAAAAUCUGCACAAGUUCAAUUCGAACGGAUGGAUAGGAUUAGGAAGACCAUUUGAUGGAGAUUGUAAAGGAAGAGAGUAAAAGGAAAGGUUUAAGGCUAUUGAAGCAAAGUUAGCGGUUAAGAAUGAGAUAAAAGUUAUGAGGAUAAAACUUGACAAGGAGCGCGAAAAGAUGAAGUAUUUGGACAAUAAGCUAGCAGCAAUGGAAAAAUACAAGGAUCAAAUAGACGCUAGCAAUGCUGCUUUGAACAAAACCAAUAUGUUGCUCAUAGAAAAGAUGACCAAGACGAAUGAGCAAAUGGACAAAUUUGUUGCGCAUGAUCGGAUUAUUAGAAUCCAUGCAUAAAAAGUGGGAGGGGACAGCAUUCGCUAGCGCCGAAGCCUAGCUAAAACCGAUGCCUUUCUAGGGAAGAUUGAGAAUCGCGGCUUUGCCUGUUUAUCUUUGGCUAGAGAGUUUGUGGAUGAAAGGUAACAAACUUGUCAAGCAUUAGGCAUUGACCCAUCUUCUUAUGCAAAAUCUGUCUCUUGGUGAACAUGAUUCAAACAAACGACUCGAAAGGCAGUACUCCUAGCAAUGUAACAAGAGAGCCUAUGUUUAUAAGGUGGUGGCUGUUAUUCGUUCACAAGAAGGCUACAACGAAAAAGGGGACCUAUGUUUCCCAAAUAGGCAACAAAAACAUGCAUAUUAUAUUGUCAUAAACAUUAACCUGACAGGAAAGGUGUGGCGAAAGCCAAAAUAGUUCCAAGUUUUUGGGAACCGCUGAGAUACCGAAUCUCAGGUCAAAAGAACUGCGAAGAUGAGUUGUGAACCAGCACUGCUUCAUUCCUUGAGGUAAGAUGAUUUCUUUUGAGAUUCAAAACGGGCAGGUCACCCGACAUUGAGACCACUUUUAGAAAAAAAGCGUGGAGUUCUUUUUAAAAUUGACCUUACCUCUGAUAGCAUAAUGAAUUGAUAAAUCACCUAUAAAUUCCUUUCAAGAUAAAAACAUAGAUUAUCCAUCCUAACAAUGUGCAUUUUAAAAUGAGAAAACUUCAUUAUCCCUUCACUCUCUAAAGAGUAUAUCGUUGGUGGUCCCAUUUGAGCCGGAAUGAAUUUCUUCUCUAUAAAAGCCCAGACUAGGAUCACACCCCUACACUGGGGGCAAAACGAGUUGUUUUUUGAAAAGUUUUACGUGUUUAAAAUUGGUUGGAAGCCCAUAGAUUUGAAAACCAAGCUAAAGCAUUUGACAAAAGCAUGACAAAGAGGCAGAUACAAGUCAUACAUUUUGAGAAAAAGGACUACUUGGAGAAAGUCAAAGACUUCUUCUCCAAGAAUAUGAUAGGCAACACGAGAGAUGAAUCCAGCAUACGACUUCAAAAGUAAAGUUCAUGUUAAGAGGGAGUCUCAUGAACUAGAAGAAGAGGAUGGGGCCUAUGUUUCAAAACCAGGUACGAAUGCAUGCAUUGCAUCUAAUCAUAAAUCAUUGCAUGUAUGUUUUUUUGGAUCGUUACAGAAGGAGAUCUUAGCGCAUUCCAACAAGAUUAUGGACGAAGAAAGAAUCAUUGAGUUGAUUCUAGAACAACAAGAAGAGAAGAUAAUGGUUUUCAAACCAUGCCAGCAGGAAGGACGACAUCGAUAGCAUUCGGUAAAAAGGAAUCGCCAAAUGGGAUUCCAAGUUGUUGAGAUCGCCAGAAGGGAUCUCGUAUUUCGAUGAAGGUCGCCAGAAGGGACCUUAAAUUUCAGCUUUUGUAUAAAAGGAAUCGCCAGAUGGGAUUCCAAGUUGUUUGGAUAAAGGAGAUCGCCAGAAGGGAUCUUGUAUUUCGAUGAAGGUCGUCAGAAGGAACUUCAUGUUUUAGCUUUGGUAAAAGGAAUUGCCCGAUGGGAUUCCAAGUUAUUUGAGAUCACCAGAAAGGAUCUCGUACUUCGACAUUCAUCAAGGAAGGUCGCUGGAAGGGACCUCGUAUUGAAACUAUUUCUUAGAAAAGCAUGGAGUUUACUAAGAAUUCUUCCCCUUGGGUAGGUCACCCAUACAAUGAGACCAUCAUUUUUCCUGGGUAGGUCACCCAUAACAAUGAGACCACUUCACAUUUUUUCUAUCUUCCACCUGGGUAGGUCACCCAUUAUAACGCGACCACUUCACAUUUUUUCUAUCUUCCACCUGGGUAGGUCACCCAUUAUAAUGAGACCGCACUUCACAUUCUUCCCCCUGGGUAGGUCACCCAUAAUAAUGAGACCACUCUUUCCUUUUCCCAUUUGGGCAGGUCACCCGUCAUAAUGAGACCACAUACGUGUUUUUGUAUUUAGGUUGGGUAAAGGAAUCGCCAGAUGGGAUCUCAGGUUAGCCCAACCACACACAAAAUAAUGGUUCUGGUUAAAGGGGAUGGCCAGAUGGGAUCUCAGGUUAGCCCAACCACACACAGGAUUUUGGUUCUGGUUAAAGGGGAUCGCCAGAUGGGAUCUCAGGUUAGCCCAACCACACACAGAAUAAUGGUUCUGGUUAAAGGGGAUCGCCGGAAGGGAUCUCAGGUUAGCCCAACCGUAACAUCGAUAUUAGCUAAGGGAAAUCGUCAGAUGGGAUUUCAGUUUGGCCCAACUACAAAUAUGGAUUUUUAGUUAAAAGAGAUCGCCAGAAUGGAUCUCGGAUGGAAUGCCAGGUUAAUCUAAUCCAAGUUAGAGGUCAGGGGAUCGCCGGAUUGGGAUCUCAAGAGGACUAAGUUUUGAUCAUUUUUUUCGGGUUGAAGGCGAGCUGCUGUAAAGACAGUUCCAGAUAGAUCAAGCUUCGACAAUAUCAGUUUCGGAAGUUCAGUUUUGUUUAUCUUUAUAAAACUUACUACGCAAAACCCAUGCUGCUCCGUAAGAAUUAUAAAGAGGGGGCAUCUGUUGUAACCCAUUUUUGGGUCCCCACAAAUAAAAAAAAAUAUAAUAAUAAUAAUAAUAAUAAUAAUAAAAAAGAAUUUGAACAGUGUCGUUUUGACACUGUUCCUCUACCCGCCGCGCUCCAUGCCGUUGGAGCCGAACCUCGACAGUAGCACCCAAUGGCCGACCAGCCGCCGCGAGACCCGCUCCCAUGCGCAACAGCAAAAGCCACACCCACUUGCUCUAUAAAUAGCACCCAACACAGCAGAGAGAGGGGGGGAAAAAACUUUUUGAAACGGAGAGAGGAAGAAGUUUAAAACGAGGAGAGUUUUGUUGAACGGGAGGGGGCUGGAAAACUAAAAGGGGAGGCGUGUUUUUGGAACGAGAAAGAGAGAGAGCACCCAAAAACAGUCCCCCUCCUGGCCAUUCCCCUCUCUCGGCCAUUUCUUCCCUGCACCCGAAACAGCCUUCUCUGUCAACGGAGCCCCAGACCGACCUCAUUUUCUCCUCCAUCCCAGCAGCAGCAACAACACCAGGAGGAGGAGCAGCCGCAGUCAUGCCCUGCCACCAGCACCUCCACGAAGACGUUGCAGAGAAGGAAGAACAUUGUUGACAGCAGAAAACACCAUCAGCAACAGAAGGAGAAGACAAAACAGGGGCGAACAGAGGAGAAAGAGAGGAGAGAGAACAAACAAGAGAGAGGGAAAAGAGGAAGGAAUAAACCGAAAACAAAGAAAAGAAAACCGAAAACAAAGAGAAAGGAAGAAAAAAAGGGGAAGGGAGGAGAGAACCCGAAGAAAAAACCGGAGGAAGAAUUGGAGAAAGAAGGCAGGAGAGAGAGAGGAGAGGAGAAAUAACACAGGAGCAGUAGAGAAGAGGAAGAGCCAACCUUCGGUCAGCAACCACCAGCAAAACCACCACCAGCACCACUGUCAGCUCCUCUACCCAAGCUCAUCGUCGCAGGUAACUCUUCCCCUGUUCAUCUUCUUGCAUGCAGAACGUGCACUGUGCACGUUCUGCAAGCAAGAAAUUAAUUAGCUGGUUACUGUGCAGGGGCACAGUAACCGGCUAAUUAAUUCCCCCGGUUACUAUGCAGGUCUAAUUAAUUAACAUGUUACUGUGCAGGUGCACAGUAGCCACCUAAUUAAUUAACGGGUCACUGUGCUUAUGUACAGUAACCCGGUUACUAUUUGUGCACAGUACCCCCGUCACUAUUUGUGUACAGUAUCUCAGUCACUGUUGUGUACAGUAUCCCGUCACAGAAGAAGCAUGAUGGCCUGUUGGGCCGAAACAGGCCGAGAUCGGCCCAACCCAGUCUGGGCCGAAAUCGGCCCAACAAUUUUGGGCUGAGUCCGGCCCAGUUGGUUGGGCCGGCCCAGCCUGAAUUUAAUAUUAUAUAUUAUUUAUAUUAUAUUUUGUAUUACUUAUAUAUAUAUGUGAAAAAUUACAAAAAUUCUGCAAAAAUUAUUUUUUAAAAAAAAUAUGUGUUUUUGUUGUAAUUUUAUUACUGUAUUUUGAUUAAUAUCGGUUGGUAUUUUUAUACUCUAAAGAUACAAAAUCCAAUAUUAAAAUACCCGGUUUUCAUCAAAACAUCAAAGAUUUUCAAAAUAAAAAAUGUCUUUUGCUUUCAAAAAUUUUCUAAAAAUAUCUUUAAAAAUAUUGUUGAUUUUUCUGCAUUUGUUUUAUCAAAGUGGAUUAAUAUUUGGUUGUAUUUUUAUACUGUAAGAAUACAAACCCAGUAUUAAAAUACCCGAUUUGCGUCAAAACAUACAAAAAAAAAUACAUAUUUAAAAAAGGUUUUGUUUUAAAAUACGGCCUAGUCUCUCCAAUAUAUAUAUAUAAAUAUUAUGACAUCAUAUUUUCACAACAAAGAAAAUUUCAAAAACAAUAUAUGUAUUAGCAUGCAUUUUGGCUUUAAUAACCAGUUUAUUCAAGCCAUGAGAACUAGGCCAAUAUUUCAAAAAUUCUAAAAAAUCUUUUUGUCCUCUUUUAGUAUUUGGGAUUACGAAUUUAUACGUAAAACGUAUUCCUGAUAUUAAAAAUAUGGGUUUUUUUUUACAUAGACAUUAGAACGGUUAGGUUUUACCCGAUAAGAUAAGGACCUCCUUAUUGAGGAGAACUUUUCUUGAACCAUAGACGGACCAACAACUAGGAAACACAACGAGACCUUGAAUUUUAUCAGACAAAUAAACAAUGCAGCUUACCUUAGGUAGGGCGUAUUUGAGGUGCUAAUACCUUCCCUUUACGCAACCAGUCCCCGUACCCAAUCUCUGAGACCAGUUAGGGUUCCUAGUGACCAAAAUACUAGGUGGCGACUCCCACACCAUUUUUCACUGAUAAGAGACAAAGAACUCCUUGUCUCACCAUAUUGACCAGAUAUAUCCCCCCCCCAUCACAUAUUUGUGGGUGGACGAUCGCCGCGACGUCGCUCACGUGCGACAACAAUUAUAGCAAUACAAACAAUAAUAUCCUAAAUUAAGAUAAACUAAUUAAAUGCAAUUCUAUAUAUAUAAAUUAACAUUUUUAAAAUAAACCAACAAUAACAAUUAUAUUUAUAAACUAACAUUUUUAACAUAAAUUCAACAAUAACAAUUAUAGCAAUACAAACAAUAAUAUCCUAAAUUAAGAUAAACUAAUUAAAUGCAAUUCUAUAUAUAUAAAUUAACAUUUUUAAAAUAAACCAACAAUAACAAUUAUAUUUAUAAACUAACAUUUUUAACAUAAAUUCAACAAUAACAAUUAUAGCAAUACAAACAAUAAUAUCAAAACUAAAAAACUAAAAUUAACAAAUAAAAUUAAAAAACUAAAAAACACUACACAACACACAACAUAAACACAAAACUAAAAAACAUUAUAUCAAUUCAAAAUAAAUUUGGGAAUAAAAAAUGCUUACCUUAAUAAUGUGUUGAAUUUAAGAUUUUAUCUACAAACAAUAUACAAAACAAAGAACACCAAAAAAAAUAAUCAUAAUUAAAAUAAAAAAAAUAAAAAGAUAAAGAAAAAAUAAAUACAUACCUUUUAAAACUACCACCAAAACAAUAAAAUCCUUCUAAAAGCUUAAUAUAAAUGAGAAGAGAAAGGGAGAAGAGGAGAAGAGCAAGGGAGAAGAGGAGAAAGGGAGGAGAGGAGAGGAGAAAGUGAGGUGCCCGGGGAGGGGGGGCGUAUAUAUAGCUUAAUUUCCGUCGGAAUUACCGACGAAAAUUAAUUGCUGUCGGUGCAAUUAAUUUACGUCGGUAAUUCCGUCGGAAAUUAAUUGAAAUGCGCACCAAAAAAAUCGAAAAUCCCGCCAAACUUUUUCGUUCCAUCGGUACGUGCCGUCGGUAUUCGUGCAGACGGACACGUGUCAGGCAUGCGUGGUCCGUCAGUAAUGCCGUCGGUAUUGACCGUCGGUAAUUCCGUCGGAAUUAGUGCAGACAGACAGGUGGCAUGCAUGCGUGGUCCGUCGGUAUUGCCGUCGGUAUUAACCGUCGGUAAUUCCGUCGGUAUACGUGCAGACGGACACGUGUCAGGCAUGCGUCCGACAUGCCGUCGGUAAUUCCGUCGGUAGUCGCGUCGGAAAAUCCGUCGGUAAUCCGUCGGUGAGUGUGGCAAAAUCCCGUAAUUUUUUUGCAACUCUCUGUGAAAUACCGACGGGUUAUAUGCCGUCGGUAUUAGAGUCGGAAAAGCCGUCGGUAAUCCGUCGGUGAAUGUGGCAAAAUCCGUAAUUUUUUUGCAACUCUCUGUGAAAUACCGACGGGUUAUAUUCCGUCGUUAUAUCCGUCGGUGAAAAGGUAAAUUUUUCUUAUUUUUUUAUGUAACCCUCUCAAAAAAUCCUGAAUUAAGGUUUUAUAUUGCAAUCUUACAGCACACACAACACAAUAACAAAGGCUGACCCUUAAAGAAGAAUAAAUAUUUCAUGUUUCAAAUUAUUACAUUAUAAAAAUAAGGUUUUAUAACAUGUUUAGUUAGUCGGAAUUUUCAUCUUCGUCCUCUAUUGAAUUGUUAUCAUCAACUUCAUCGCACUCUUCAAUUUCGUUAUCAUCUUCUUCAACAACAUUCUUUUUUCCACUAGUAGAGCUCAGAACAUAAUUCAAUUCCUCUGCAUCAACAUCAACAAGACUAUUGUUGAAAACACGAAAAUUCAAAUUUUCUUCUAAGUCAAUCGACGGAGCAACUCGGUAUGGUUCAACCAACUCACUAGCUUGAAAGACUUCAUCUGUCACACUUGUGUCUUCGUUCUCAUCCUGAACAACCUCGACACGACCCUUGGGUUUUGUUUUUAAAACGGAUAACCAAUCAACUCUUGAUCGGUCCUUUCUAAAGGAAGGGGUGUAUGUGUAAUAAACUUGUUGGCAUUGCUUUGCGAAAACAAAGACGUCGUUUACGUUGCGGUGUCUAGCUUUUGAAUUGAUUUCAACGAGACCAUAGUGAGGAUCUACUCUGAUUCCUCUGUCAGUUGUGUCAUACCAAUAGCAUUUGAAUAAAAACACUCUAUUUUGCUCGUUAUGAUAUUGCAGUUCGAUGACCUCUUCCAAUCUACCGUAGUAGUCAACUUCAAACUCACUAGAAGUCGAUCCCUUAAUACAAACACCGCUAUUGUAUGUCUUUCUUCCAUGCCCGUAUUCUUCAGUAUGAAAGACAUAUCCAUUGACAAAAUAUCCAUUAUAGCACUUGACUUUUCUUUCAGGGCCCAGACAUAGUAAAGACAGUGAAAUAGCAGCACUACCUCCCAUUUGAUAAACCUAGCAUGUAAAUUAAAUACAACAAUAAUCAAUAAACGGAUAUUAUGUAACAUUGACUACAAUUAAUUACUUUGCAAGAGAUAAUGAGUUUGUGCUAGGAUUUACAUGUGUUCUAAACCAUGUGGCAAAUUGUUCAUCUUGUAAUUGAAAGAUCUGGGAUUCGGUCAGCUGUGAGUUAUUGGACAGUAAGUAUCGUCGAUGUUGCCUGCAAGGUUGUUCCAAAGUACAUGAGUGUAUGGUAUCACAAAACAUAAAUAGUACACUCUUGACAAAGUUUAAGUCGAACAUCUACUUACUUAAUAAAAGGUCUCAGCUCAUCACAGUUAAAUAGGACAUAAUUGUGUGCUUGUCUGAACUCUAUUUCAGACAAAUAUCUUCCCCUCACGACAUUUUUAGGUGUGGGUCGUCCAGGAUUGGAGAAUAUUGACAAGUUCCCACUUGAAUGCACUUCACCACCAUCAUCAUGCCGUGGAACACGGUUUAUCCUCGUUCUCAAAUGAGGUUCGAAAUAGUAUGAGAUAAAUGUUGAGAUCUCCUCAACAAUAUACGCCUCACAUAUUGACGCCUCAACAUGCGCCUUGUUCUUAACCUUUUUUUUAAGAUUGAACAAGUACCUGCAUAUAUAUAUAUAUAUAUAUAUAUAUAUAUAUAUAUAUUAAUAAAAAAUUAUCAAUUAAAAACAUUAAAAUAAAAAUAAAAACAUUUAAUUAUAAAUGUCAUAGCAACUGUAAUAUCUAACCUCUCGAAUGGAUACAUCCAUCUGUACUGGACCGGUCCUCCAACUUUUACCUCAAACGGUAAAUGUACGGGUAGAUGCUCCAUUGAGUCAAAAAAUGAUGGAGGGAAUAUCAUCUCAAGUUUGCAUAUUGUCUCGACGAUAUUCUUUUCAAGCCUUUCAAUGUGAUCAACAUUCAACUUGCUGGAGCAUAUGUCUCUGAAGAAAUGACUAAUCUCCGUUAGUGCAUCCCAUAUCCCCUUUGGCAACAAAUCACGAAAAGCCAAUGGGAUGAGUGUUUGCAUAAACACAUGGCAGUCAUGACUCUUCAUUCCAUAUAAUCUGCAUUCCUCCGUAUUAACCAACCUUGAUAUGUUCGAGGCAUGUCCAUCGGGGAAACGCAGACUCUUAAGCCAUUUAUAGACUAGUAGUUGUGCGUUUUUGUCUAGCACGAAGCUUGCUCUUGGUUUUGCGACCCGUGACCCAUCACAAACCAACUCCAUAUUUUUACGGUUACAGAACAACGCUACAUCCAAUCUAGCCUUGAUGUUGUCCUUUGUCUUCCCCUUCACAUCCAUGACGGUGUUGAAAAUGUUCUCAAACACGUUCUUUUCAAUAUGCAUGACGUCAAGGUUAUGGCGGAGAAGAUUGGUCUUCCAAUAAGGAAGCUCCCAAAAUAUACUUCGCUUCACCCAAUUAUGGGUCAAACCAAAACCAGGAAACUUCUGCUUACCUGAUUGGAGACCAAACACAAUUUCACCGUACUCUGACACAACAUCAAACAAUUCUUCACCAGAAAGACGCGGGGGUGCAACAUCAUUUUCAACUCUGCCAACAAAGAAAUCCUUUCUGUUCUUUCUGUACCUGUGGUUAUGUGGCAAGAAACGACGGUGACAGUCAAAAAAAGAAGCUUUACCCCCGUUUGUUAGUGUGAAUGCCUUGUUGUUCUCCAUACAAUAUGGACAUGCUAGCUUUCCAUGCGUGCUCCAACCAGAAACCAUUCCAUAAGCUGGGAAAUCAUUGAUAGUCCACAUCAAAGCCGCUCUCAUAACAAAAUUUUGUUUCAUCGAGAUGUCAUAAGUCAAAGCUCCAGAGGACCACAACUGCGUCAACUCAUCAAUCAACGGACGAAGACAAACAUCUAUAUUCCGCCCCGGACUGCUCAGACCUGGUAUGACCAUAGAUAAAAACAUGAACUCCGGCCUCAUACACAUCCCCGGUGGCAAGUUAUAAACCGUCAGUAUGUCCGGCCAACAAGAAUAAGGAGCAGCAAAUGACCCGAAUGGGUUGAAUCCGUCUGUACACAACCCAAGACGCACGUUCCUUGAUUCAGCUGAAAAGGGAGGAUGCAUACUGUUAAAGUGUUUCCAGGCUUCACCGUCAGAAGGAUGAACCAUCACUGCAUCAACCGCAUGGUGUGAUUGGUGCCAUGUCAUGUGCUCAGCAGUCCUUGGUGACAUGAAUAACCUCUGCAGUCUAGGUGUGAUUGGGAAGUAUCUAAGUUUUUUAUAUGCCACGAGAGUCUUCCCUCUACCAGUUCUAGGUUUGUAACGGGAAUGCCCGCAUGUCAUGCACUCGAUCAUCUCAGCAUUUUCAAGGUAGUAUAACAUGCAGAAGUUAGGGCAUAUAUCAAUUUUCUGGUAUCCUAAACCGAGGGGUUUCAUCAUGGACUUGGCGGCAUAGAAGUUCUCUUUCAGCCUGUUCCCUUUAGGUAAAAUGCUUAUCGCCCAUUCAAUAAUCUUGUCAUAACCGGCCUCACUCAACCCGUGAUCUGACUUGAUGGUGAACACCUGUGCUACGGCUGAUAAUUUACUGUGGUUCGUACAGCCAUCCCAUAAUGGUUCGUCAGAAUCUCUCAACAGAUUAAAAAACCUUGCUGCAUCUGCAUUAGGUUCUUCUUCUACGAUUGGACAUUCCCUGACAUUAGCUUCACUCAUUCUCAUUGCAUCCAUAACCAUAUUCCUGUAAGGAUUACUGUUCUCAUUUUCAACUUCAUGCAUGUUACUAGCACUAGAAGUUGACCCAACCACCUGUUCUUCCAUGCUCUCAUCAGGAACAAAUAGUUCUCCGUGAGCAUACCAACACAUGUAAUCUUCCAUGAACCCUUUGGUUAGAAGAUGCAUCGUUACAACAUCUUGAUGCAGAAACUUUAAAUUUUUACACUUCCUGCACGGACACCUAAUACCGCCAUCAGUAAAAUUCCUCGGAAUAGAUGUUGCGAAAUUAAUAAAACCCUGGACACCGUUACAAUAAUCCAUCCUCCGCAAUCCUUGAGGUGAGUCCCGAUACAUCCAUGAACGAUCAUCCAUGACUUCUAUUGAACCUCUAUAAAACAUAACAAAAAUAUUGGUUUUCCCCGACAUUAAUUAUCCAACAAACUAAAACAACACUUAUGUUAAAUAUUCAUUAUCAAUUAUCAAUUAUCAAUUAUCAACUAUCAACUAUCAACGUUCAUACAUACAAAUUUAUACAUAUAUAAAUUUACAGAAUUAAUCACAACUUCGAAAUAUAAUUGAUAACAAUUAAACAAGACACUUAAAUAAGCUAUUAAUUAUUUAUUUCAUCACAACGACACAUUUAAUUCGGUGUAAUUCAAACAAAAUUUCAACAAUUUACAAACAAAUAUAAUUUGACAAAAUCUAAAACAAACUAUAACAACUACAAAAUUAUACAUUCAUACUACAAGUUUCUUUGACAAAUAACAAUUAAACAAGUACAAACGUUAACAAAAUACAUAUACUAAAACAAUAAAAUUCACAAUUAAAUAUUAAAACUAAAAAGGAUAGAUUUACUUACAAAAAAAUGAUAAAAUCUACAAGAAACGGAUAUUGUGACCACGUACAAGAUAUAAGAAACUUGAGUGCUCGUGUUGAGAAUAAUGGAGAGUUUGGGAUGGGUGUUUGGCUGCAGUUUGGGAGGGGAGAGGUGGGAUGAGAAAGAAGAAGAAGGAGAAACAGAGGAAGAGAGUGUCGGCGGAUGGGGGUAUAUAACGGUUUUUUCCGACGGACGUAUUUCGUCGGUGAUUCCGUCGGUGAUGCCGUCGGUGAAAGAGCCACGUCAUCUCAGUUUGAAUCCCUCGGUAAUGCCCGUCGGUAAAAUCACCUGACGUCACCAUGUUGUUGCGUAUUUCCAGACGAACUGCAUACUCCGUCGGUAACACCGUCGGUAUAUACCGACGGACAUAUUCCGUCGGUAUAUACCGACGGUGUUACCGACGGAGUAUGGCCGUCGGUAUAUACCGACGGUUUUUGAGACGGAAUUAUUUCCGUCGGUAUAAAUUACCGACGGAAAUAUUCCGUCGGUAAUUCCGUUGCUUUUCUCCGGUUUUCUGGUAGUGAAAACUCAAGAUCAAAAACUGAAAUCUUUGGUUUAAUGAGGAAAGGGUCACGGCGGCCACAAGACUUAGAAAAGAAAACAGUAAUUCUCUUGCAACCUUUUCUUAUAUACCUAGGUUAACUUAAGUUGGGUUUGGGCUGACUUGGGCUUGGGUUUGGCCCAAAAGUUUGGGUCUUACAUUUUCUCUCAGGUCUAUCUCGCAUCCUUCUUCUGUUUCCAUUUCAAGUGAUGUAUAAAAAUAAAAUCUCUGAGAUACUACUAAUGUUACUAGCUUGAAUCUUUGAGGUGUUGAAUUAUGCCAAAGGCCGCUCCCAAAUCCAGUAAUUUAUCAGAUGAUGACAUAAAGGCUCUCACUUGGCGAACACAGGAUGGAGGAACUGAGGUUGUGGAAGCGAAGGCUGGAAAGGGAUCAGCGACACUUUCCAUGGCGUAAUGUCCUGAUACCUCUCCAUCAGUCUUGUCAGAUAAAAAAACAAAAAAAAUUGCUAUCAUUUACUAAAUGGCUAUUCUGAUAAACAACUUUGAUUCCUGUUGUAGCUACGCUGGAGCUGUCUUUGCUGAUGCUUGCUUAAAGGGGCUCAAUGGAGUUCCAGAUAUUGUUGAAUGCUCCUUUGUGCAAUCAAGCAUCACUGAUUUGCCUUUCUUUGCCUCUAAGGUGAGUCAAUGGUCAGAAGCUAGGCACCAGCUUCACAUCACAAGCUGGGCUUGAUACGGAUAAAUCUCUAAGCUGAUUGCUUCCGUGAUGCUGCAGGCAAGGCUAGGAAAGAAUGGCGUGGAGGAAGUCUUUGGAUUGGGUCCUCUUGCAGAUUAUGAACAACAUUACAACAGGGUCUUGAAAGCUUCAAGCCGGAGCUUAAAGCUUCGAUAGAGAAGGGAGUUGAGUUUGCCAACCAAAAUUAAUUGGACAAGUUAUGCAAGAUUUUGGAAUCAUAUUUUGGAACAGUUUAGUCACUGUUUUCCCAGCAUAUGAAAAUUUAAUUAGUCUAUGGAUUUUUCAAGUUUCAAAUUUAAUUAGUCAAUAUUUUGGAAUCAAAUUUCUUAUGAAAAAUUCAACUACUAUGGAGAUGGAUUUAAUUAGUCUAGGACAAAUUUAUGGACAAAAUUUCUGUCAUGGUGGAGUGUCUUUUAGUGUGUUUCAAACUCAGUUGAUGAGUUGUUGUUUCAAUGGCCAAUAAUGAUCAAUGGCAAGUUUAAGAGAGAGUCAUGGCAACUACUCUCAUAUAGUAUUGCUUGGAGUAUCUGAUUAAGAGCCUCAAUAAGGACACAUUACACAUGAAUAAAUAAAAUAUAUACAAAAAAGAGGGGGGGCACCUUAUUCAAUGUGACACACUUUGCAACCUUCACCAUGUUUGUCACGAUCUGAAUCUCGGAUCCAUGACCGACACAUAGGCAAGGUUCCCCUCCAAGGUUCCAUACCUAUGCGAACCCAAACUUACACACAAACUUAUCCUAACUCAAUCAGAGUUCAACGCAACAUUAAUAACAAAAUCAACUUCAUAAUAUAAUUGAAUUGUCUUAAUACAAGAGUUUAUAUAAGUUCAGAGUUUUGGAGCACUAACUAAACAUAAAGAAAAGGUACAAAGUACAACUAAAGAGCAGGUUCUGAAGGUCCAACAAAAGUGAUCUGCUAUCAAGCUAUAAGCCUGAAAAGGUAAAUAAUGAGAUGAUGAGUUCAACAACUCAGUGAGUAGAUAACGUUCAAUAUACACACACGAGGUAAUAAAACAAUGAGAAAUAUAUAUACAAGUAUGGCUCUAGAUUCUUAUAGGAAGGUUUCUCAAAUAGGCCAUAAUAAGAAUAUCAGAAGGUAAAGCUCGUCAGAAAAUCAAAAUGCAAUGAACAUGAGGCUCCGUACUGUGGGAUGAUCAGUCUACACAGGUUGAUGACUCCCCCAACCAACUAGGGUUCAGAUACGAUGUGCAAAAAGACUAACACUACCCUGUUAGCAUGGGUAUUCUGACUGGCAUACCAUAGGUUCAUAAUCAUAAUCAAACAGACAUAUUCAUAUCUCAAGGCUCAACUCAUGACAUCAAUCAAAUGAGAAGCUAUCAAUUCAUAAUUCAAUUCAAAAUAUAUACUGGUUCAUAUCAAGAAUUUAGAUUCAACAAUUGAUCAUGCUUUAUCAAAACAAGGAUAAUAAUCAACAUGUUUAUUAUCAAGAAGCAUGAUCCAAUUCAUAUUAACAAAUCAAAUAUUUAUAAUAUUUCUAAUGCAUAUAGAAAAUUAUCCACUCACCUGACUCGAAAGCAAACAGAAGUCAAAAGCAGAUACAGAAGAAAAUCCUACUGACGUCCCGCCGGUAGAAUAUUAGGAUUAUCUGAAUAUAAAGGAGACAUAUUCAAGAAUGACUCAAAAGAAUAUAUAACCUAUUUAAUACACUUAUCUAAGGGUGUAUUCCAUAACCCUAUAUGUUUUUGAACUAACUAGUUAUUUUUCCUAAAAACCCAACAUUUAACGGUUUUCCCGAAAUCUAAUCCAUAAUAAAACAAGUAAUAAAAUUGGUAAUAAUUCACUAAAUAACCCUCAAUUAUUCAUCAAACCAAACUGCACAAGCUAAUAUUACAGCUAGGGACUAAUCUGGAAUUUAUCAUAUUUUUUAAGGAUCAAAUUGUAACUUUUGUCAAAUUGAAGGACCAAACUAAAAAUAUCAUAAAUCCAUGACUAUACUGAAAUUCUGACCAUAAUUAAUCCUCAAUUCUGUCCAGAAUAUCUCAUUAUACUCCAGGGACCAUUCUGGAAUUUUACCAAUUUUUUAGGGUCAAAUUGUAAUUUUUGUCAAAUUGAAGGACCAAACUAAAAAUAUCAUAAAUCCAUGACUAUACUGAAAUUAUGACCAUAAUUAAUCCUCAAUUCUGUCCAGAAUAUCUCAUUAUACUCCAGGGACCAUUCUGGAAUUUUACCAAAUUGUUAGGGUCAAAUUGUAAUUUUUGUCAAAUUGAAGGACUAAAUUGAAAGUGUUAAAAUUUCAUAACUAUACAGGAAUUCUGCCCAUAAUUCAUCUUUUAUUCUGUUCAGAAUCUCGGAAUAGGCUCCAGGGACCAUUCUGUAAGUUUCCAAAGUUUGGGGACUAAACUGUAAUUUUCACAAAUUGAGGGACCAAACCAAAAUUUUGUCAUCUUUAACCUCCAACCCAGAAUUUUAACAGAAAACCUACUGUCCUCUCCAAAUUUCUAACAAAAAUUCACCAUUCAAAUAAAACCAUAACUCAAAAUCAUAAUUUUUAUCUACAAUCUCUCAAAUUCAACUUAACAAUCCAUUACCCACAACAAUCAACCUUAUAACAUUCAAUUUAAUUCAUCAAUUAAAUUCAAAACACAAAUUUUCAAAACCCUAACAUUCAUCAAAACUGAAAUUAAAGCUAAAGAAAACAUAUUAUACACAUUUAAGCAUAAUCUUACUCUUUUUACUUAUUUUCUCCAGCUCCUUUCUAUUUCCCUUUUAAUUUCUCUCUUUUCUCAUCUUCUUCUUCUUCCUCCCUUUCUCUCCUGCCGGUUUGCUCUCUUAAUUUCAGAUCUCUUUCUCUCUCUCUCUCUCUCUUUUACUUCCUAUUUAUAUUUAUCAAGUUUUGUUGAAUUACCACUAUAUUUCUUAUUCAUUUAUUCCAACUUUUAAGCCUUCAAAGGUUUUAUUGUAUUUUCCAACUCAUUAAUUCAAAACGAUACAAUGUUCUUGUAGAAUGGACAUGAAAAUUAAAAGGUUCAAAAGCUUUAGCCCAUAUAGCACCAGACCUGGGCAUAGAUAGACAUAUUGAGGCUAGCUCGAGUGAAGCGCAGAAAAGAAGUUGGGGUUUCCGGAAUAAUUCACUGCGCAUUUCUCAAUUGACUUGAAUAUCUUCAGAUGGGUGUUCUUACAACGUCAAGACAUUUCGAUGUUGUGCAUGUAAAUCUAUCACAUUUGUAGCUCUUUUGGGAUGAUAAAUUAUUUUAUAAAAAUUUGAGAAAUAAACAUGCUAAAAUGACUAGUCCUGCCAAAUAGUUGUUUCAUCGAGCAUCUAACACCCUUUAUCUAACCUCUCCACUGCUGUCAUGUUUACCUGCAGAAUCUUGUUUAGAAUUUCAUCGACUUUGAAAACUGGACCCUACUUGAUGUCAUGUUUAACGUUCGGAAACGUCUUCAAGGGGUUAUGAAAAUGGAAACUCGUGAACAUUAAUUUUCUUGAACAGUUUAUGAAAAUUGGACCCUACUUGAGUUUAUGAAGUAACUUGUUAAUUAAAACGUCUACAAGAGGCUGUCCCUUCAUUAAUUUUUAUGGAUUCACAUCAUUGCGGGGUCUAGCUUACUUUUCCACCACAGGUUUGCUCAUGAACCAGCUACUUAGUCCCUCCCAAUUAAUUGUCAUAAUUCGAAGGAGCCACAUUCUUCAGCGACAUAGACUUGAAAUCUGAAUAUAGCAUGCAUAUGCAAGUGGUUGAUGUUACAUUUUGAGAAUGAAACGUUCAUCAUAAAACUUCAAGUUUUUUAAAAGCAAUCUAAAUUUAACGAUAGCAAGGCCAUUAAUUCUGACCCAACAAUAACAUAAGAAAAUCGAUUGUAAUGAGAAAGUAUCAUACAUAUAAAAAACAAAACAAUAUACUUAAAAGAUUGAUUGGAUUGCAAAUUACAAAGCAUAAUGAAAAAGAGGAAAGUGGUAAUUAGAAACUAGAAUGGAAAAUACUUUGGAAAUAACAAAAAAGAAAUUAUUGGGAGAUAUGGUUGAUUUGUCCUUGUGGAAUUUAUAAAUCCUUUCUCAUAUAAUUAAUUUUUGAGUUGAUCUUGACUUGGAAAAUGAAUGAUGAUGCGUAUAUUUCAUGAACAUGCGAGUCGAGUCUUGACUUGGAAAAUGAACUAUAUAUAUAUUAUGGGUGAUCAAUUCGUGAAAAAAAUAGACUUUUUAUAGCUGCAUUAAAAGCUCUUAGUUAGGGUGGUUGGGGAUGGUCUUUAGUUAACUGAGUGGUUGGACGUUCACCUGAAAUGAAAAACAAGUCCUCUGAAGAAAAAGAGAUUUUUUAAUGCUGAAGUAAAUAAAUAUAGGAGAAGAGAAAAAUACAUAGAAAAAGUAAAAUGAAGUUUUUUAAAAGUAAUCUAAAUUUAAUUCUUUUUUAAGACACGAAGGCCACCGUAACUUCUGGACUCACCAACUGUCUUUUUUAUCUUCGAUCUCAACUAAUAAAUCUUCGUCUUUCACUACUGCUUUAUUCACAUCCAUCCCUGCCUCUAUGAUUUCUGCACCAUCCUCUUCCAAACAUACAGUAUCUGGUGUAAGUAACAUAAAACAAAAUCUUUCACAAAUAUUAUUCACUACCAUAGGGUUUAUGAUCGUGUUGAUGGCACUCUUACUCCUCAAUUCAUUACUAGAACUUCUCGACAACCUACUGUCAAUCUAUAUUUUGCUAUUUGUCAGCAAGUUAAUCAUGUUGUUGUUUCUUGGAUAAAUGCUACUGUGUCAUCUUAAGCAUCCCAUCUUCCCUGGAAUUGCUCUCUAUGCCCGUGAUACUUGGGUUGCUAUUGAAAUAUGACAACGUGUCUUCAAUAUAUAUGCACUUGAAAUCUAAUUUGAACCUUUUAAGUUAAAAAUUAAAGAAUCUAAACUAAAAAUACUUUUUAUUUCUCUUAUAAACAUAAAGUAUGUAUACUAAAGAAUUUCAAAUCCUAUAUUAUAAAAAUAAAAUAUUUUUCUAGUAUUUAUACGAUAAAUUUUGAAAAUAGUUAAUUACCAACUAAAAUAUAUAUAAAAAAAAAAGUUCUCUAACUAGGAGAAAAAAUAUAUUUUUUUAAAAAAAAAUCGAGUCUCAACCAAAUUUGUAUGAUUGUUUGGGUCAUAAGUCAAUCAGUGGAUCAACCGGGUUUAAUUUGCCAAUUUGAUAAAAUUAAGAGUGAAACAUUGUAAUGUGUUUGACUUUAAUUUCCACAAUGAAAAAAGAAUAGACUUUAAGAGAAGAAAAACAAAUAAUUUUUUUUUUGAACAUAAAAUACUAAUAUUUAUAUAAUAAACUUUAAAAUAGUUAAUAACCAUCUAAAUAAUAUAUAAAAAGGGGUAUCUAACUAGAAGAAGAAACACAUUUGUCAAAAAAAAAAAAAAAACACAAGAUCUUAAUUAGAUUUUACCGGGCUGCUAGAGUCACGGAUCAAUUCAAAAAAACCAGGUUUUCUCAAUUCGAUAAAAUUAAGAGUGAAACAUUGUCAUGUACUGUUGGACUUUAAUUUCCACAGUGAAAAAAGAAUAGUCUUUUCAGAGGGAAGAAGAAAACAAGAAGGAACCUUCUUAUCGACUUUGAAAAUUGUACCCUAUUCGAUAUCAUGUCUGCACUCUGCCGUUCGAAAACGUCUUCAAGGGGUUGUGAAAAUGGAAACUCAUGAACAUUAAUUUUCUUGAACCAAUUAAACCUUAGUUGACAUAAAACCAAUGUGGGGAUCAAAUGUUGGUUGAUGAAUCUGAAAAAGGUUCUCACUGAGUCUGAAAGCAUCUUAAGGAUGUAAGGAAUAUUCCUUACUUUCCUAUUUAAUGUUUGAUCCAUAGAGCAUCACAGCAAGCCAUUUGAUCUCAACUUAAAUCUGUAAGAUCCCAUUGAAACUGAAGCUUCCAAGCAUGAGUUCAUUCAUAUUGUGGUUUCUUUCCUUUCAAAUAAUUCAACACUCUUUCUCCUUCUCAUUAGCUAGAGGAGGAAGCGAGAUUGACAAACUCUCUCUACUAGCUUUCAAGGCACAAAUUUCAGACCCCCCUACAAAACUAAGCUCGUGGAAUGAAUCCGUACACUUCUGCCAGUGGUCAGGAGUAACAUGUGGAAGACGGCAUCAAAGAGUCAUAGAGCUUGACCUCCACUCCAGCCAACUGGUGGGCAGCCUAUCUCCCCACAUUGGGAACUUGAGUUUUCUUAGUCUGCUAAGAUUGGAAAACAACAGUUUCACCAAUACUAUCCCCCGAGAAAUAGAUCGUUUGGUUCGGCUACAGACACUGAUUCUCGGGAACAACUCGUUCACCGGUGAAAUCCCGGCCAACAUUUCUCAUUGCUCGAACCUCCUGAGCCUUAAUUUAGAGGGAAACAAUCUUACUGGCAACCUUCCUGCAGGACUUGGAUCGUUAUCAAAGUUGCAGGUAUUUAGUUUUAGAAAAAACAAUCUAGGUGGCAAGAUACCCCCCUCUUUCGAAAAUCUUUCAUCUAUCAUUGAAAUUGAUGGAACACUUAAUAAUUUACAAGGGGGUAUUCCCAGUAGUAUUGGGAAACUGAAAACAUUGAACUUCUUUUCACUCGGCUCAAAUAAUCUGAGUGGUACAAUCCCUGCCUCCCUAUACAAUAUUUCUUCUCUCAUUCAUUUCUCUCUGCCUUAUAACCAAUUUCAUGGUACACUUCCUCCAAACAUUGGCCUAACUCUUCCAAAUCUCCAAUAUCUUGGCAUUCACGACAAUCGAUUAAGUGGACAACUCCCAGCAACGCUCAUAAAUGCCACAAAAUUCACUGAGAUUUAUCUUUCAUACAAUAAAUUCACCGGAAAAGUUCCCACUUUAGCAAUCAUGCCUAACUUGAGGAUUCUUUCAAUGGAAGAAAAUGGGCUUGGAAAAGGUGAGGAUGAUGAUUUGUCCUUUCUCUACACCCUCUCAAACAGCAGCAAGUUGGAAGAUUUGUAUAUAGAUAAUAACAAUUUUGGAGGAGUGCUGCCUGACAUAAUUAGCAACUUCUCAACAAAGCUCAAGCAGAUGGCAUUCGGAAGCAAUCAAAUCCGAGGAACCAUUCCCGAUGGCAUUGGAAAUCUAGCAAGCUUGGAAGCUUUGGGUUUGGAGAGAAAUCAAUUGACUGGCAGCAUACCAAAUUCUAUUGGUAAAUUACAAAAUUUAGUUGAAUUGUAUCUUAAUGAAAACAAAUUAUCAGGGAGCAUCCCCUCUUCUUUAGGGAACAUCAUCUCGUUGCUGCAAAUUAAUUUUAAUCAAAAUAGUUUACAGGGAAGCAUCCCUGCAAGCCUGGGAAACUGCAGGAACUUGUUGCUCUUGGCUCUCUCCCAAAACAAUCUCAGUGGUCCCAUACCAAAAGAGGUCCUUAGCAUUUCAUCCUUGUCAAUGCAUUUGGUCCUGUCUGAAAAUCAGCUGUCUGGUUCCCUUCCCUUUGAAGUGGGCCAGUUAAAGCAUCUUGGACACAUGGACUUCUCCAAAAACAGGCUAUCAGGGGAAAUUCCCUCAAGUCUUGGCAGUUGCGAGAGUUUGGAACAUUUGUCUUUGGAUGGGAACUUCUUCCAAGGCCCCAUUUCCGACUCUUUGAGAUCUUUGAGAGCACUUCAAGAUCUUAAUCUCUCUCACAACAACUUGACUGGCCAAAUUCCCAAGUUUUUGGGAGAUUUCAAGUUGUUGCAGAGUUUGGAUCUGUCAUUUAAUGACCUUAAAGGUGAGGUGCCCAUGCACGGUGUCUUUGAGAAUACAAGUGCGGUUUCAAUUGCAGGGAACAAGAAUCUUUGUGGAGGAAUACUUCAGUUGAAUCUGCCCACUUGCAGAUCCAAGUCAACAAAGCCAAAGUCUUCUACCAAGCUGGCAUUGAUAGUCGGUAUUCCUUGUGGCUUUAUUGGAUUAAUCUUCAUCACAUCUUUUUUAUUUUUGUGCUGCUUGAAAAAAUCGUUGAGAAAAACAAAAAACGAGCUGUCAUGUGAAAUGCCAUUCAGAACAGUAGCUUACAAAGACCUCCUUCAAGCAACUAAUGGAUUCUCUUCGGGCAAUUUAGUUGGUGCUGGUAGUUUUGGGUCUGUGUAUAAAGGAGUACUUGCCUUUGAUGGAGUGAUUGUUGCUGUGAAAGUAUUCAACUUGCUACGCGAAGGAGCUUCCAAAAGCUUCAUGAGAGAAUGUGCAGCCUUGCUAAACAUCAGGCACCGGAAUCUUGUCAAAGUAUUAUAUGCAUAUGCUGGCGUUGAUCUUCAAGGUGAUGAUUUCAAAGCUCUUGUUUAUGAGUUCAAGAUCAAUGGAAGUCUAGAAGAAUGGUUGCAUCCAAACCAAACAUUGGAUCAGGAAGUGGAUGGGCCAAGAAAUCUUAAUCUCAUUCAGAGGUUAAACAUUGCAAUUGAUGUGGCUAAUGCGCUCGACUAUUUGCACAACCAAUGCAAAAUGCCUAUUGUUCAUUGUGAUCUUAAGCCAAGUAAUGUUCUUCUCGAUGGAGAUAUGACUGCUCAUGUCGGGGACUUUGGAUUGUUAAAGUUCCUUUCUGAAGCAUCCUGUCAGUCAUCUUCGAGUCAGACAAGCUCUGUCGGAUUAAAAGGCACCGUCGGCUAUGCAGCUCCUGGUAACAUUCAACUCUAGAGGGAUACAUAUUCCAUUAUUUACAAGUUUUCUCUAGCAUUUUAUCUCCAAGGUCAUAAGCAACUCUGAUUAAUUAACCAUUCAAACAAACUGACUGCAGAGUAUGGCAUCGGAAGCGAGGUGUCAACUUUCGGGGAUGUAUACAGCUAUGGCAUCCUACUGCUGGAGAUGAUUACUGGGAAGAGACCUACUGAUAGCAUGUUCAGAGAUGGACUAGAACUUCACAGUUAUGUUAAAAUGGCAUUACCUGACCGUGUAAUCGAUGUCGCGGACCCGAAACUUCUGACAGAAGUUGAUCAGGGAAAAGGCACUGAUCAAAUCGUGGAGUGUUUGAUUUCAAUCAGCAAGAUAGGAGUGUUUUGCUCAGAAAAGUUUCCUAAAGAGAGAAUGGACAUUAGCAAUGUUGUAGCUGAAUUGAAUCGAGCUAAGGCCAAUUUUCUUUGAAGGCAUGGACUGCUAUCCUACGAGAAGGUUCUUGCCCUGUAGUGUCCAGACGACCUCAAAGUGAAUGUAAGACAUGAGGAAUGGAGUCUAAAUAUUGUAACUUGCUUAUUUGCAUCAGCAUGAGUCCUAGCUAGCUACUAGUCAGAAAGUGUCCCUGAAAGAGAGCACGAAACCUGUAGUGUAAGUGCCUGUUUUUUUGAAAUAACCUGUAAUGUAAUUAAAUGUUAUGCAAAAAUUAAGCACUCUUCUUUUACAUGUCGACUUUUACCUAACCUUUUUGUUUUGUUUUUGCUCUCUUAUGAUGAUUGAAGAUUACACAACAUUGCCCUGCUUUAAUAUUUCUCCAUUCAUGCAAAAAUAAACGUUGUAAUAUUGAUGCAAGGGAUUUUCCCCAAAUUUGGAUCAAUCUAAAAUUUUGCUAGGAGAUCAUAGAAGCCCUAUUUCCUGUAAGCUUAAAUUUUCAUAGCCAUCUAAAAGCAAUCAAGCAGGUCUCAGGACCUGCUACGAGCCAAACCCAUAAACAGGAAAAAAGCCAAACUAGACAACAUAACUGAACUUCCACCAGCAACAAAAUUCACUAAAAGAAGCAAUUUGGUCAUUGUGUAGUCUGAACUUCCACCAGCAACAAAAUUCACUAAAAGAAGCAAUUUGGUCAUUGUGUAGUCUCAGCUGAACUGAAUGCAUAACCUGAGCAUGUACAUCAAGCGGGAAUGAACUCACAUCAUUGAAGAUUCUGGCAUUCCUUUCUCUCCCAACAAAAUAAACAACUUCACGCCAAGCUAGUCUCAAAAUAAUGGAAGGAAAGCACUUUUUUCUGCAGACUUUUCAUGGCAUAUUUAAAUUCAUCAGCCCAAUCCCCCAGACUUCUGAAUUCUUCAACAACUGAAGAGUAGAACCCCAUAGGCCCAUACAGUUUUUGUAAAUGGACAAGCACAAAACAAGUGAUUUCAAUCCUCAUUAUCCUGAUUACAUAACACAAAUAUAGCAUACAUACUUACCUAUGUAUUAUUUCUUCUUAACAUAAGUGGUAUUUUCUUAAACAGUUCAAUUGGGAGGUUAGACUAUUCAGUUAGUAGUGCUAAAUCUGGAUCAUGUCUCGGUUGUAUAAUGAAGUAGCCAAAUGAAUACUUUUUGUUUUUUUUUUUUUUAGAAUACAGUGUGGGUUUCUCUUUUCUCAAGGUGGAUGGAUUUUAUCCAUGUUGUGCUGAGUUAAGUCUAAUGGGCUGAAAGUUCAACAAACAACUAGAUCAGUAAUCAGCACUACAGGAUUUCCUAAGAAGAAACUGGAAUUCAUGCCAAGAGGCAUAUACUACACGGAUGGAACUAGAUCGGUAACCACAAGAGAGUACUACUCCGGAGAAUGGCAACCUCAAAAUCUAAGUAAUCAGGAUGUCUGUGUAUGGAUGUCUGAUUUCCCUUGUUUACUACAGCUCUUGCAAUAAGAGAUGCUGUCUCCCCAAGUGUUCUCAACCGCUCCUUCAGAAUUACAGAAGGGUUCGAGAUUGGUGUUCCUGCUGCCUGGUUUACACUGUGCCGCAGCUGGAACCAGCAUUCACCCUGUUCAGUCAGCACACAAAGCACAUUUGGGUCAAGAGCAUAAAUGGAAUGGGUACACAUACACACCCACCCCCACACACACAAGAACAGCCACUAAUCAAAGUACAAAGCCAAGUUAUAACACUUUUGGAAGCUUUUCCACUAUUUAAGUUUAUUCCAACUGCAUUUGACCUCUGUACAGUAAGAGUUGAAAGCUUUGCUACUAAAUAAUUUUAACCAUUCAAAGAACACACAAAGGGCAUUUUCAACGUGUGUAUUACACAGACACCCAAUGAAUUUAAAAGAGAAAAAGUGUUUAACUCUUUAAUAUUUUGUUGCCUGUAAAAUGGUUAAUUCAAAAACAAGAGUUGGAAAGAUAAGAAACUUUUACAUGUAUUUUCCACACGGAGAAGCAUAGCAAUGAGUAAGAAGCCCAUCACUAGGCUAAAACACUGUCAAAGAAGCCAAUAAUAUAAAUAAGACUGAACAUGCAAGGAGAUCCCAUCUCAUCAGCAGACAUUCAAAACGGAUCAUGGACUCUUAUCAAUCAUUAAGCUUAUUAUAUUUAGGGAAAACAUCUAUCAUAAUUAAAGAACAAUAUCUUAAGGUUUAUCAUAUUUAGGUGGCUUUCUUAUGUAUUAUUAACAAAUAAUCUAGUGCUGGAGAUGGCUAAGACAAUGGUCACACCUUCCACUGGUUUUUCACCAGUUUUUCCUCCCCGUUUGCGUCUGUCUUCUGCCUGCUCUGACCUGUGCGUUCGUUCGUUUUUCCCUCCUUCCUGUUCUGGGUCUCCUUUCCUCUGUUUGCGUUUCCUGGUCUCCCUCUGUUCCUCCUGUAUUUUCCCGUUCCCCUGUGUAAUUUCUUUUCGUCUUCGUCCUCCUGUGCUCUCCACUGUUUUUUUCGGUCCCCCCUUUGUGUCCGGUCCCUUCUCUGACUUACUUUUAUAGCCAGAGAAUGCCAUGCGUUUUCCUUGACAAUUAUUGCAGGAGUAGUAAUAACGGUCGGCGAUGGCAGGGGCGUCCGUUGUUUUCGAUCGGGUGAAGAAGAUGAAUAGUGUUUGGAAACGGGGCAGUUUGAUGUUAAUGGCCAUUUGCGUUUUGGCCCUUGAAGUUUUGUAAUGAAUCCCCUGGAUAAACUUUAAUGGGACCCCUGCUUCUCAGCGCAUUUUAUAAAACAGUCCUAAGUUUCUGAAUUUUCAAUUAAACACAUGAUUUCAUUAAUUAAACUAAUUUCAAUUUCAAUUAAGUCCCAAAACGCUGCGACUCUACCCGUAGGGCAACCGGCUGCCCAUCCCGUGGCGGAACAACCCAUUCCACUGCAAGAACCCGAACCUGUCAAGACCCUUUAUUUGGUUAAGUAAACUAAUCUAAAGUUUAAUUAAGUCUCAAAACUUUUAAUUAUGUUGCCUUAACCCAAAUUCUAAUUUAUUAUUCAUUCAUUUCAUUUUUUAUCAUCAUUUUUUAUCAUCAUUUUUUCAUUUUUUUAUUAUCACUUUUCAAAAAAUAUAGUAAAAAUAAAAAUAAAUAAAAAGAAUAAAAGAGUAAAAAAUUGGGUUAUAGCAUCAGUUUUGAACCAAAACUCAUUUUAACAAAAAUAAUGAUUUUAAAAUGAAAAUUAAAGUGAUUGGAUGCUAGAUUAUUUUUCCUUGCAUAAUUUCUAACUGUAUGUGCCUUUGUUUUGAUCAAAAUUGAUCUGAUUUGAAACCUUGUUAGGUUUUGUUUUUGGAGUUCUUCAUUUUUUUUUGUGUUCGAUCCGUUUUAUUCAUGAAAUUUUAAGUUUUUUUGGGUGUUUAAUGUGUUUUUUUUAGCUUUGUUUUGUUUUUUGGCUUUGGUUUGUUUUUGGUUAGAAAUGCUUUUUUUCUUUUUUGUUUUUAUUUUAAAUUUUUUGGAAAAAAUGGUGCAAAUAUAUCAACAUAUCUUCUGUUAGUUUUUUUUUUUUACAAGUUUUGUAUUUUUUUUCAAAUAUUUUUCAAAAAUUGAGUAGCAAUAAACUGGAUGAACAAUCAAUCAUUUAGAUCAUGGAGAUUUCAUGAACUCUUCAUUCUUGCUUCUCGGUGCUCUACUCAGCUAGGCUCUAUAUCUAAUUUUCAUGUUUUAAGAGAGGUAAACCAUAUAUACAGCUGACAACCUUGUUAAACAAAGGGUGAAUAAAAUAUUUGUUUCAGGCUUGGAUUCGAAACUGGUAUGGAUACUCUCCAUAUUUUGCUUCUUCUAAGUUAUUGUUUGUGGCUACUGUGGUGCAAUAUGUUAUGGAAAUAUCAAUGUCAAGAGAUGGAAAUCGGAAGGCCUAGAUAUCUGUUUGUUUUUAUUUUACAGUCUUGUGAUUUCUAUGGUUCCUAUUGGCUUGGUUUUGUUUUUGUUUUUUGUUUGUGUGUUUUUGGGUCUUUAAUGUGUUUUUUUAUUUGGUUUUGUUUGUGGUUUGUUUUUGGGUUAAAUCAAGAUUUUUAGUUCGGUUCAUAAUGGAACAAAAAAUUUCAAAUCAACCUAGUCGAGUAAAAAAUAAAAUCUGGGUCAAAGGAUUUAUACCCUAAUUGGUUUGCCAUUUUUAUGGUCUUUUGGUUUAAGAGUAUUUUUGGCAAACACCGCUUAAGCCUAUUUUGGGUAAUUUUAUUAUAAAAAAUAGGUUUUUUUUUCCAAACAAAGCCUAAAAAAUAAUAAAUAUUUUCUUUUUUUUAUAUGACCAAAAAUCCUAAAUUUAUUUGAGCAUAUUUUUCAAAGAAACUUUAAAAUAUUUUGUUAUAUUUUAAAAAACAAUAUUGCAUGUAUUUUACAAUAAGUUUGUAAAAUUUCAAAGGAUUUUGACUAAUAUUUAAAAAUUAUUUUUGGUAAAAAGAUAUUAUUCACUUUUUAUAGAAGAAUAAAAAACCUAAAAUGAGUGAACGUCCACAAUAUUAUUAGGGAUAAUAAUUUUAUUUAAAGUUCAUCAAUAAAGACCUGGCUUUGUGUCUCUUUUCUUCAAAGAGUUCUUGAUUCAGAAAAUUAGAGUUCAUUCAUCAUAGCAAACCAUCAUAGUUAAGUCGGUAGAGAUGGAUAUUACCGACAAUAGCAAACAAAUACAACAUAAUACAACCAUGGACAUUUAUCUUUGGCUCAUAACCAAUUUCAUGGUACACUUCCUCCAUGCAUUGGCCUAACUCUUCCAAAUCUGGAAUUUCUUGGCAUUCACGACAAUCAAUUAAGCGGUCUAAUUCCAGCAACGCUCUUAAAUACCUCAAAAUUUACUGAGAUUUAUCUUUCCUACAAUGAAUUCACCGGAAAAGUUCCCACUUUAGCUAGCAUGCCUAACCUGAGGGUUUUUUCAAUUCAAGAAAGUGGGCUUGGAAAUGACGAGGAUGAUGAUUUGUCGUUUCUCUACACCCUCUCAAACAGCAGCAAGUUGGAAGUUUUGGCUAUAGAUGGGAACAAUUUUGGAGGGGUGCUGCCUGGCAUAAUUAGCAACUUCUCAACAAAGCUCAAGAAGAUGACAUUCGGAAGAAAUCAAAUCCAAGGAAGCAUUCCCGAUGGCAUUGGAAAUCUCAUAAGCUUGGAUACUUUAGGUUUGGAGAGAAAUCACUUGACUGGCAGCAUACCAAAUUCUAUUGGUAAAUUACAAAAUUUAGUUGAAUUCGUUCUUAGUGAAAACAAAUUAUCAGGGAGCAUCCCUUCUUCUUUAGGGAACAUCACCUCGUUGAUGCAAAUUAAUUUUCAUCAAAAUAGUUUACAGGGAAGCAUCCCUGCAAGCCUGGGAAACUGCAGGAACUUGUUGCUCUUGGGUCUCUCCCAAAACAAUCUCAGUGGUCCCAUACCAAAAGAGGUCCUUAGCAUUUCAUCCUUGUCAAUGCGUUUGGGUCUGUCUGAAAAUCAGCUGUCUGGUUCCCUUCCCUUUGAAGUUGGCAAGUUAAAGCAUCUUGGAUACAUGGACAUCUCCAAAAACAGGCUAUCAGGGGAAAUUCGAACAUUUGUCUUUGGAUGGGAACCUCUUCCAAGGCCCCAUUUCCGAGUCUUUGAGAUCUUUGAGAGCACUUCAAGAUCUUAAUCUCUCUCACAACAACUUGACUGGCCAAAUUCCCAAGUUUUUGGGAGAUUUCAAGUUGUUGCAGAGUUUGGAUCUGUCAUUUAAUGACCUUGAAGGUGAGGUGCCUAUGCAUGGUGUUUUUGAGAAUACAAGUGCGGUUUCGAUUGCAGGGAACAAGAAUCUUUGUGGAGGCAUACUUCAGUUGAAUCUGCCCACUUGCAGAUCCAAGUCAACAAAGCCAAAGUCUUCUACCAAGCUGACAUUGAUAGUCGCUAUUCCUUGUGGCUUUAUUGGAUUAAUCUUCAUCGCAUCUUUUUUAUUUUUGUGCUGCUUGAAAAAAUCGUUGAGAAAAACAAAAAACGAGCUGUCAUGUGAAAUGCCAUUCCGUACAGUAGCUUACAAAGACCUCCUUCAAGCAACUAAUGGAUUCUCUUCGGGCAAUUUAGUUGGUGCUGGUAGUUUUGGGUCUGUGUAUAAAGGAGUACUUGCAGUUGAUGGAGUGAUUGUUGCUGUGAAAGUAUUCAACUUGCUACGCGAAGGAGCUUCCAAAAGCUUCAUGAGAGAAUGUGCAGCCUUGCUAAACAUCAGGCACCGGAAUCUUGUCAAAGUAUUAUUUGCAUGUGCUGGCGUUGAUGUUUAAGGUAAUGAUUUCAAAGCUCUUGUUUAUGAGUUCAUGAUCAAUGGAAGUCUAGAAGAAUGGUUGCAUCCAAUCCAUACAUUGGAUCAGGAAGUGGAUGGGCCAAGAAAUCUUAAUCUCAUUCAGAGGUUAAACAUUGCAAUUGAUGUGGCUAAUGCGCUCGACUAUUUGCACAACCAAUGCAAAAUGCCUAUUGUUCAUUGUGAUCUUAAGCCAAGUAAUGUUCUUCUCGAUGGAGAUAUGACUGCUCAUGUCGGGGACUUUGGAUUGUUAAAGUUCCUUUCUGAAGCAUCCUGUCAGUCAUCUUCGAGUCAGACAAGCUCUGUUGGAUUAAAAGGCACCGUCGGCUAUGCAGCUCCUGGUAACAUACAACUCUAGAGGGAUACAUAUUCCAUUAUUUACAAGUUUUCUCUAGCAUUUUAUCUUCAAGGUCAUAAACAACUCUGAUUAAUUAACCAUUCACACAAACUGACUGCAGAGUAUGGCAUCGGAAGCGAGGUGUCAACUUUCGGGGAUGUACACAGCUAUGGCAUCCUACUGCUGGAGAUGAUUACUGGAAAGAGACCUACUGAUAGCAUGUUUAGAGAUGGAAUAGAACUUCACAGUUACGUUAAAAUGGCGUUACCUGACCGUGUAGUUGAUGUCGCGGACCCGAAACUUCUGACGGAAGUUGAUCAGGGAAGAGGCACUGAUCAAAUCGUGGAGUGUUUGAUUUCAAUCAGCAAGAUAGGAGUGUUUUGCUCAGAAAAGUUUCCUAAAGAGAGAAUGGACAUUAGCAAUGUUGUAGCUGAAUUGAAUCGAGCUAAGGCCAAUUUUCUUGGAAGGCGUGGACUGCUAUCCUGCCAGAAGGUUCUUGCCCUGUAGUGUCCAGACGACUUCAAAGUGAAUGUAAGACAUGAGGAAUGAAGUCUAAAUAUUGUAACUUGCUUAUUUGCAUCAGCAUGAGUCCUAGCUAGCUACUAGUCAGAAGUGUCCCUGAAAGAGAGCACGAAACCUGUGUAAGUGCCUGUUUUGUUCGAAUAACCUGUAAUGUAAUUAAGUGUUGCGCAAAAGUUAAGCACUCUUCUUUUACAUGUCGACUUUCACCUAACCUUUUUGUUUUGUUUUUGCUCUAUUAUGAUGAUUGAAGAUUACACAACAUUGCCCUGCUUUAAUAUUUAUCUAUUCUUGCAAAAAUAAACCUUGUAAUAUCGAUGCAAGAGAUUUUCCCCAAAUUUGGAUCAAGCUAAAAUUUUCCUAGGAGAUCAUAGAAGCCCUAUUUCCUGCAAGCUUAAAUUUUCGUAACCAUCUAAAAGCAAUCAAGCAGGUCUCAUGACCUGCUACGAGCCAAACCCAUAAACAGGAAAAAAGCCAAACUAGACAACAUAACUGAACUUCCACCAGCAACAAAAUUCACUAAAAGAAGCAAUUUGGUCAUUGUGUAGUCUCAACUGAACUGAAUGCAUAACCUGAGCAGGUACAUCAAGCGGGAAUGAACCCACAUCAUUGACGAUUCUGGCAUUCCUUUCUCUCCCAACAAAAUAAACAACUCCACGCCAAGCUAGUCUCAAAAUAACAGAAGGAAAGCACUUUUUUCUGCUGACUUUUCUUGGCAUGAUCAAAUUCAUCAGCCCACUCCCCCACAGACUUCUGAAUUCUGCAACAACUGAAGAAUAGAACCUCAUACACUUUUCAGAAAUCUUUUUUAUUAUUAUUUUUUCAUUUUUUAUUAUCAUUUUUCAGAAAAUAUAGUAAAAAUAAAAAGGAUAAAAGAGUAAAAAAUUUGGUCAUGAGAUCAGUUUUGAACCAAAACUUAUUUUAAUAAAAAUCUUGAUUUUUAAGUAAAAAUUGAAGUGAUUGGAUGUUAGAUUAUUUUUUCUUAUAUGAUUUCCAAUAUAUAUAUGUCUUUUUUUGAUCAAAACUAAUCUGAUUUAAAACCCAUGUUGUUUGGUUUUGUUCUUGGGAUUUUUUUGUGAUUUUGAUAUGUUUUGUUAAAUUUUAAGUUCUUGUUUUUUUUUUAUGUUAAUGUGUUUUUUGGCUUUGGUUUGUUUUUUUGUUAGAAAUGCUUUUUUCUUCUUUUGUUCAUGAAAUUCUUUGGUUUUUAUUGCAAAUACAUCAACAUAUUUUUUGGUGGUUUUUUUUCUUUUCAAGUUUUGUAUUUUUUUCAAAUAAUUUUUAAAAAUUGGGUAGCAAUAAACUGGAUGAACAAUCAAUCUUUUAGGUAUGGAGAUUUCAUGAACUCUUCAUUAUUGCUUCUCGGUGCUGUCCUCAGCUAGGCUCUAUAUCUAAUUUUCAUGUUUUAAGAGAGGGAAACCAAAUAGCUGACAACCUUGUUAAACAAAGAGUGAAUAAAAAUUUAUGAGUUUCAGGCUUGGAUUAAUUUGAAACUGGUAUGGAUACUCUCCAUAUUUUGCUUCUUCUAAGUUAUUGUUUAUGGCUACUGUGGUGCAAUAUGUUAUGGAAAUAUCAAUUUUAGGAGAUGUAAAUUGGAAGGCCUAGAUAUCUGUUUAUUUUUAUUUUACAGUCUUGUGAUUUCUAUGGUUCAUAUUGGCUUGGUUUUUUUUUUUUUUUUGUGUUUAAUGUGUUUUUAAGCUUUGAUUUUGUUUGUGGUUUAUUUUCAAGUCAAACCAAGAUUUUUGGUUCGGUUCAUGGUGGAACCAAAAAUUUUAGGUUAACCUAGUCGGGUAAAAAAAACUGGGCCAUAGGGUUUAUACCUUGUUUGGUUUGCUAUUUUUUAGGGUUUUUUGGUUUAAAAGUGUUUUUGACAAACAUCCUUUAAGCCCAUUUAGGGUAGUUUUAUUAUAAAAAAAAAUAGUUUUUUUUUUCAAUCAAAACCUAAAAAAUAAUAAAAAAUAUUUUCUUUUUUUUAUAUGACCAAAAAUCCUAAAUUUAUUUUGAGCAUAGUUUUCAAAGAAAAUUUAAAAUAUUUUAGGAUAUUUUAAAAAAAUAUUACAUAAAUUUUACAAUAAAUUUGUAAAAUUUUAAAAAAUUUUGACCUAUAUUUAAAAAUUAUUUUUGGUAAAGAGAUAUUAUUCAUUUUUAAUAUAAGAAUAAAAAACCUAAAAGGGAUGAAUAUCUAAGAUAUUAUUAGGGAUAAUAAAUAUUAUUUAUUUUUAAUGUAAGAAUAAAAAACCUAAAAUGAAUUAAAAAUAUUAGGAAUAAUAAUUUUAUUACUCACUUUAAUAUAAUAAUAAAACAUUUAUAUAAAAUUAAUAUUCAAAAUAUUAUUAUGAAUAAUACAAUUCAUUCAUUUCUAAUAUAAAAAUAAAAUUCAUAAAACAUUUAAUCUAAAAUAUUAUUUAAAAAGAAUUACAAAAAACCCUAAAAACCAUAACCCUUUCUUCUCCCUCACCCGAGCCGCCACUCUCCUUCCCUCUUCCCAGACCAGCCUGUCCCCCCACGCUACUAAAGCUUUCCUUUGCCCAAAGACAAAAGGGGACCUCCCCCUCCUCUCUGAUUUUCCUCACCAGAACCAGCCAAAGCCGCCGCUCCCCCUGCUUUGGGAUUUUUGCUCCCACAACCAUCUCUUCCCCAGCUCACCACCAAAAACCCAACCCCCCAAUUUCCCCCUCACCCAAUAGCUCUUCCCUCUCUCAGCCGACCCAUCAGCCUCCCUUGCCUGGCCAACACCAACAGACCACGACCCGACCUUCCCUUUCCCGGAUCUGUUCUGCUUUCUUCUCCCUGGAGAUUGGCCUCCAUAGAAGCCAGCCACCGCCUCCAGCCAGCUCCACCGGGCAGACCACAUAGAACCCGACAACCGGACAACCACCCCCAUCUCAAGAGCAGUUUCAGCAGCCCACACGCGGCUCCCCCUCACAGAUCGUCCCCUUCCUCAGCAACCGACUCUCCUUCAUCGGUUCAACCCCACGUAGCAGACCUGGACUGAGAACCAACGGCCGGAUCUGUCACCAGCAGAGGAAAACAAACCGAGAGGAAGAAAGAAAACAAAGGAUAAUUAGAUCUGAAAGAAGGAAAAGAUUAAAAUCAACUGCUGUUUGUGCGUUUUUUUUCUUGUUGCAGGUGAUGGUGACCCUCACCGCCGGCGUAGGAAGACAGAGAAGAAGAAGACGUUCCCGAUCCACCGGUUUUGUUGACUUCGGCGACAGCCAGUGACGAGGCACGUGGAACAACGCGCCGCUACUAAUUCUGCAAUUUCAUAGGGCUUCCCGGCACUGUUCCUGAAUUUUUGAGGGCUCAUUUUGUAAAUUUAAAAUUAUUUAAUGUGUUGUUUAGGUUAUUUUGACUUUUGAUUGGUUUGUAAUCAUGUAAUGGGUGUGCUUAAACAUUGUAAAAAGGAGAGUGUUUGAGUGGGUGACUUUGUUAUUAUAUUAUUAUUUUUAUAUAUUUUUUAAUGAUAAAGUUAAAAAGACAAAAAGAAUUAAAAAGACAAAAAAUAAAAUGUUUUUAUUUGCAUUGAAUUUGGUUCAUGAUUAAAAAAAAAUAUCAAAAAUAUUUUAUUUUCUUUUGGUAUUCGAGAUGGUAAUCUUAUAAAUAAGAUGUAUUUUUGAUAUUAAAUAGAAAAAUAUAUUUUGUCUUUAUUUUGAUACUAGAGCAAUUAGAUUUUUUUUAUCCGAUAAUAUAAGGAUUUUUCUACUGAGAAGAAUUUUUCUUCUCUUUUCAAGAAGUCACAGGAUAACUUUUAAAAUUUUUUAAAUUAUAUCAAAUCGUGAAAUAGUUUACUUAAGGUAGGGUGCGCUAGAGGUGUUAAUAUUUUUUCUAGCCAUCUAUUGCCUGUGAAUUUCUGACAAGAUCAGUACACCUGGGUUUCUUAGUUACUCUGAACCAAAUACUAGGUAGCGAUUCCAACAAUCAACCAAGCAAACAAACAAAAAUUGCCAUCGACGCCUCGCGGGGACAUGCGAUAAUGAUAAGAAGAAAUCUCAAGAUCAUGUGAAUGACCAAAUGACACCCAAAGAAUAAUAAAACGAAAUGAAGGUGCAAGAUGACAAAGUCCAAUAAGAAAAUUGAGAUCCUGCAUCAAGAGAAAGACAAAAAAAAAAAAACAAUAGAGUCUUGGUGAAAAUUGAUAAGUUCUUGCACGAGAUAAGGUGAUGCAAAAGAGACCAAUCAUACAAAAAAAAAAAAAAGAGUUCUUCCUAAAAGGAAAGAUGAAAAACGGCUAAGGAGCAAUGAUAAGAAGAAGAUAUCAAUCUGAUAAAGAGUGAAUCAAAAUAGAAUAGUCACUUGAAAAGCCAAAUCUUGAAAAAAGAUAUUUGACCAAAGAAAUGUGGCAACAAUCAUAAGAGAAGAAAAAUGGCUAAGAAUAGCCAUGUUUAGAAAAAUACAAUUGUUGAAGAUAAGAAGCCUCAAUUGUUGAAGAUAAGAAGGUGAGGCUACAGUGAUACGAUAAGGGUGAAUGUCAAACUCAUGAAAAAUAAAAUUAUCAUGAGUUUGAGGGAGUGUGUUAAAGAAAUAAUCAAGGUAAAUAUUAUUGAUUAUUUUCUAAUCAAUAAAAGAAAAAGAUUAAUGAAUUGAACAACCUUAGACAAUGAGGAAAUUAUUUCAAUUCUCUAAUAAAAGGAGAUGAUGAAAUAUUUUUUUUUAUAAUUAGUUUUAUUUUAUUUUCUAGUGUCUUGUUAUAUAACUAUAUAAACUCUGCGAAUAUGUUUUAAAUUUCUUAUCUCAUUAAUGACAAAAAGAAAUCUAAGGAUUUUGGGUAUACAAUCUUUCGGUUAGUGUAGAGAGCUAGCAACUUUGGAAGUAGGGUGGUACUAAAGACGGAGAGCGGUAGGUAGGUGGUGUGAUAAUGAUUUCCAAGGAUGGGAUAUAUAUUCAAUGGGUAGACUUCAAUUUCCCCGAUGAGAAAACAAUGUUGUCUUUUCAACUUGGAAUAUUGCAUUCAUCUGCAGUAGUUUAUAUAAAUGAGUGUUAGAAAUUUGAAACAUCAACAAUAUUUCAGACCGAUGACACGUUACAAGGUUUGAAAUGACAAUGAAAGAAGCGCAUACACAAACACAAACAUGUGUUGCCAUAAAUCAAAGAAAUGGAUCUUAAGAAAAAAAAAAACAGAACUGAAAAUGAAAAAAAAUGAUAUGAAACAAAAUUAGUAUAACACGCUAAUGAGUCCUGUCAAUUGUCAUAUCAGACGAAUAGUUUGGUUUUGUGUGGACUUUAUUUUGCACAAUGAGAAAAUUCAAAGUCGUCUUUUUUAGGGGAAAAACUGGGAAACAUCUUCUCAACUUGGAAUAUUGCACCUGCAAGUGGUUAACGUAAAAUGAGUGUUUGAAAUUUGAAACUUGAAGCAUCCUUGGGGUCGUUUUUCAACCACCUCCUCCCAUUUGGACAACUUUGAGUUUCUUUUUGGUUUUUUUUUCUUCCUCAAUCCAUUCUUCCCAACCCAAUAACUUCAGACAUGCAUUUCACUAUAUAUAGAGGGAAGCUCUACACUCCUGCGUCCCUUAAUACAUCAUAUUAAGGGGUAAUACUAUGGAGAUGGAUUUAAUUAGUCUAGGACAAAUUUAUGGACAAAAUUUCUGUCAUGGUGGAGUGUCUUUUAGUGUGUUCCAAACUCAGUUGAUGAGUUGUUGUUUCAAUGGCCAAUAAUGAUCAAUGGCAAGUUUAAGAGAAAGUCAUGGCAACUACUCUCAUAUAGUAUUGCUUGGAGUAUCUGAUUAACCAUAAAUAAUUUUGUUUUCAAUAAUAUACAACUAGAUCUGGAUCAGUCAUGCUUCUCUUUAACCCUCCACUGGUUGUCUGCAUGGUGAAGAGCAUUUCAGUAAUGAUCUUUAAAUAGGUGCAGAUAGCAUUCCUAUAUAGACAAAUUAAUAGCAAAAGACAGAUGAUUGUUAGUGUCGUGAUAUUGGAAUAACUUUUACAGACUUUUUCCUUAGGAUUAUACUUUUCUAUGUUUUCUUUCUAUUAAUGAUAUUAUUUUGUAAAAACUAUUAUUUUUUUUUUCCUUGGCCAUUUUCUAAAUGGCUAACAUGAUAUUAAUUAUACAAUUGAUUAUUAUAUAUAAAAAAAUUAUUCUAGUAAACAAUCAUGUGCUCUUGUAAAUAAAUUUUUUGAAUGGCCACCAAAGAGUUAUUGGUGUGUUUGGGAACGUGUUGCAAACCACUUUCCAAAAAAUUUUAAUUUUUUUUAUAUUUUAAGAUUAUUUUGACAUACUGAUUUCAAAAAUAAUAAAAUUUUAUUUUGAUGCAUUUUACCGUUACCACAAUUCUAAAUAAACUAAUAUUCUCAUAAAGUAACUUCAAAUUUCUUAUGCCAGGUAAAAUAUUAUCCUAGUUAUUGUGUGUCAAAAUAUUAAUUCAAUUCAAGAAUUUACAUGUUUUAACCCAAAAAUUUAAACUUUCACUUAAAUAAAAAUAAAGGAUCUAAGAAUGGUUAUAUAGUAAACCGCUAACAUUGAGAUGUGUUCCCUAUCACAAUUGAAGCCAGCUCAAACACAUUUAUUACUCUUGCUAGUGUAUGCGGUGCCAAUAAUGGUUGCACGUUAUAGAGUACUAGGGGCUGGAUAAUUUCUAUUUUUUAGGCUGAUUUUCAUUUGCUUUGGUUCUUUUUAUGGUAAAAUUCGGCUCUCCUCUUUCGUGGCCUAUGCUGCUUAUUUGUGGUCGGAAGUUAGGGACUUGAUUUUGGUGAUGAACACGUUGCAAAUUUGCAAGCAGGUUAUAAAGGUCGCAGAGAACAAGAUGGGAAAAAUGCAACAUAUACUUGGAGUAAAUUGAUUUGUACAUAUUGUGUUUGAUAUGUAGAUUUAAGGCAUUUUGAUUUUACAAAAUUCAGAAAUCAUUGGUAACAUAUACUUCUUUUUAAGUACUUACCUAUGAAAGUUGAAUUUUCCGAGACACUUUAAUGGGGGGGGGGGGUAUUUAAUGGAUAAAUUAAAAAUGAAAUAAAUAUUCAUAAUUCACUAAUCACAGAAUUAUGUUGUCAAAUUUAAUGAUUUGUAUUAGUUAGUCCAUGAUAUUUGAUGGUGAACUAGGUUAGAAUUAAAUUUUAAGAAUAGUUCUAGUGUUAAAAGAAGUUCACUCUCUCCUUAACCUUUUUUAGUAUGAGCAAAGAGUCGAUAUCUAAAGAAAUUUAUUCUUCUAAAUACACUAUGUUAAUUUUUUUUCUAAGCUAGUAGAGUAAAUAAGACUUCAGAAGCACCUUUAACAAUGUUGUUACCCCCUUUUUAAUUAGGGCCCCACAUAAACAAAAUUAAUAUUGUCAUAGUUGUAUCUACUAUCUACACCUCAACUUGUAAAAAGUGAAAAAUAAAUAAACAUUACUAUAAAAUUAUCUAUUCAAAUUUUAAUAAUGUUCUCCCUCAAUUACUAAAACAACCCAUAAGUUACUAGCUAGUUAUAUAUAUAUAUAUAUGAGUGAAGAAACUUUAGUAAGAGAAUCACACUGACAAAAGAAAGCAAGGUGAAGAACGAGUAGAAAUACCAACAGCUAGGGAAAAUAACAAGCCACAAAAACAAGAAACAUUACCAAACUACGUAACCAAAACCAGAAAUGCUUAACAUGCCUCAAACCAUGGAUAAAAAAGCGACACGCUAUGUAGCCAUGCCUUCGAAGCUACUAUAUCAUUUGAUAAGAUCAAACCACUCCCUCUCCUCCCGCAUCAAAUCAUGGAGCACUAGGUAUCGGCCCGGGUACACCGCUUGUGCAACGCUCAUAAUCGCAUUCAAGUACUGUUGGAGACCUCGCAAUCACAAUUAGGUUGGAACAUGAUAAAAGAACAAUGAUAACAAGGAGUAUUAUUAUCAUGUAUCGGUUAUUUCCUCGAGACCCCAUUUAUGAAAUGAAAAAGAAAAAGCUGGAACUUCUUUAGGGAAUGUAUAUAAAAAACUUGGUAUGUGAGUAGAGAGCUAGCUAGUUUGCAAGAGUAGUGGUAAAGAUGGUGAGGGUAGCUAGGUGGUGUGAUAUAUACACACACACAUACAAAAAAAAUGAAAUAUGUCCCUUCAUUUUCAUGGAUUCACAUCAUUGCGGGGUCUAGCUUACUUUUCCACCAUAGGUUUGCUC
rnacentral:lncRNA from 1 species